rnacentral:lncRNA from 1 species
GUGGUGGCUUGGCAAGCAAGAGAGGGGGAAGAUAGGAAAAAAGGAAGAAAAGAAGUGGUUCUCUAGAGAAAGAGAAUUUGGGGAGAACUUUGAGAGAACUUGGAGAGAAACAAGGACAGCCAUGGAAAACUUGAGAGACCAUUAUCAACUUGAAAAACGUCAAGAUAAAACUUGGAUUUGGAAACACCUUGAGGUAAGAUUAUUUAAUUUCCUAACUUGAUUUUAUUUUCUAUAUCUUCUUCUCAUACUUCUCAUUUUCAUGAUUUUGGAUGUAUUAGACUAAAUUUGGUGUGGAUGUAUAGGCCACACGAAGUAUUGGAUUUUUUUAUGAUCCCUUGAUGUUGAAUCUUGAGAAUUUGGUGAAAGUAAUUUGAGGUUGAAUGCUUGAAAUUCAUUUAUGUUUACAUGUUGAUGAAGUUUGAGGAAUUUUUGGAGUGUUGAUGACUAUUAACUUAUUGAUCUUUUGAUAUAUGCAUUUUUUUAGUUUUAGAGAAUCAUUAAUGAUCAUAUAUUAAAGUUUGAUUGAAAUUUUUUGAUGAUUAGUGUGUGAAUGAUUGGUGUUAAAUAUUGUUUGAUACAUGAUUAAAAUUAUCUUUAGGAUCAAUUUAGAGAAUCCCUACAUAUGAAAUUUUCUAAAAGUUGUUUCUUUAUUACCACUGUUGAUAGUUCACUUCAGCUUUGAACUUGUAAAUUGGAAUCCGACCAUUCAAAAACUCUUUAAAUUUUUUCUAAUUAUUCUAUGAUAUUUUAGGCUUCUUGAAUUUGAUUUUAGAAUUUUGUUUGAGUGAUUUUUUUUUUUCAAUUUGAAGAUAGAAAUCAAUCUUUUAGAAGGUUUAGUUUUCACUCUGUUUUUGACACUCAAUCUCGUUUCUUAAAAUAAAAUUAUUAAAUGACCUCUUUAAUUUCUUUCGACAUCUUUCACUUAAUCUAGACUCCUUAAAUUCAAUUUUUGACAUAUAAAAUGUUAAGAAAUAAUUAUUGAAAUGAGAGAUAUGAUUUUUUCUUCUUCUUGCACUUACUGCACAGGUACUCUUCUAGAGCUACGAGAUGUUAAUUUAAUUUCAAAUAUGUUAUGGAAAUAAUUCUUACAUAAUAUUGAUGAGUUGCAUGAAUUUUUGUAGGAUUUUAGGACAUCUAAGUUAAUUAAAAAAAUAAUUCUCACAUGCUAUGGAAAAUUACUCUGUUCUGGACCUAUUAUGCUUCUUAUGAAAUCUGGCACUAAAUGGGAUUUAAUUAAUUAAUUUGACCACUUGGAUGAUAAACUAGACAUAUAGGAGAUAUUCUCUGAAAAAUUUCAUGAUAAAAUUCGACUUUUGGAUAUUUUUUUCAAAUUCAUUUUGUAGAGUCUUCUACUAUCACUUGCUGAUUUUCUUGUGAAGUAACCCACUUGUGAAUAAGUUUGGUAAUAAUUGUGAACUUUUUGUUGUCAUUGAUUCCUUGGUGAUUUAGUAACAUGCUUAGGUCUUUAAAUUGAUCUUUGAUGCAUGUUUAGGUUACUAACAAAGGUAGGUAUAGCUGCAUGUUGAUCUUCACAUUUCACACACACUAAUGCACAUAUUUAGCUUGAACAGGUGUUCUUUAUUUAUUUUGAUUCCCUUUUUUGGUCGUGUGUUUGUAAAAAUUGUUUUCAAGAAUUUCAAAAAUGAUCAUUCUCAUUUCUAAUAUCCUCUUACUUCCAUAGGUUCAAAAUGAGUUUUCAAAAACAUCAAUGCUACCUUUUUUUUUGAAUUGGUGUGCAUUUCAAAUUUGUUUUCAAAAUGAAUUUGUGACCUUUCAUGGGAAUGAAAUUUGAACAUGGCUUCUUAUGGAGUUCUUUAAUCAUGGAAGAUUUCAUUCAAGUUAAAUUGGGAAGUGGUAACUCCCUACAUGUUCAUUUUCGAGUUUUGAAAUCUUAGUUUUCAAGUAAUAGCUUAUUUUAGUGCCUUAUUCCGUACUUUCGAGAUUGAUCUAUGAAUUUAAAUUAGAAGAUGACAUGUUUAAUUCAUGAUUAUAUUUUUUUUCCUAAUAUUAAACUCUCUGAAUUUAAUUUUAGACACUUGCAUUACUUAAUUUGGAUUUUCCUAAUAGAAGAUAUAAUUUUGUCUUUAGGUACUUUGUACACAAGCUCUGUUUUGGGCAUUCUGAAUGGUAAAUUGAUUUUAAAAACGUUAGAUUCGUGAUUAUGCAUUUUUCCUUUGAAAUAGACAUUAUCAAUAUUGUGUAUGAAUUUUGGGAAACCUAGGUGGGUUAAAAAAAUUCAUUUUUGCAUGCCCUGUGCACUGACCCUGUUUUGAACCAAUUUGAUUGUUUUGAGUGCUGGUACUAUUUGACAUAUGAUUUGUGAAUUUGUCCAAUUGGGCUAGAAACUAUACUCCUUGGAGUUAUUGCUCAAAUUUUUAUUUUUAUUUUUUAUGUAAAAAUUCUACUUCUAGAUUUUAGCUGAAUUCAUUGUGUAUUGAUUGAUGGGAAUAAUUGAUUUGGCCUUUCGGACAUUGAUGUAGACUUAUUAAAGGCCAUACCUAAUUUUUAUCAUGAUGAAAUGAGCAUGUUUAGUAUUUGUUUUAGAUUUAUUUAGAAGACUUUUAUAUGCUAUCCUGUUUUGCUGUUUGCUGAAUGUAUAUCAUAAUUUAGUCAUAAUCUUUUAUGCAUGCCUCAUCACUUAGAAUUUGUAUCUUUUCUUCUAAUUCAUUCUUUGUUUACCAUGAUGCCUUGUAUAUAUGAUAUAACUCUUAGAUUUAUUACCUUGUUAAACUAACAAUUUCUUUUGAGGGAGUGCUUGCUUAUAUACUAAUAAGGUAUGUACUUUCAUCCUUUGUUUCUUUCGUAUAUAUUUUAUAUUCUUUGGAUUGAUUUGAUUUCUGUUGUUUGGUGUAUGUAUAUGUGCAUGUAUUUGAAUUUAUGUUUGAUUUUGUAUAUAUGCCUGUGACAUUUCAUAGAGAAAUAAACUAGUCCCUGUCAUUCUCAUGCAAAUGCAAGCAGUUGCUUGUCACCUAAAUGCAUAACGUCUCCAAAUGGUGAUAAAUAUCACUUGAGUUUUGUGAUUUUCGUUCUUUUGUAGAAUGAUGCAAGUAUUGCACACCUCGGAUAUAUUAUUAAAUCUUGUCGUUUACAUUAACCUCGGAUCAAAACCUCUAUAAAUCUACUAAUAAAAGAAAUAUGCCACUUCCAAGUCAAAACAAGAAGUAUUUAUCAAUCUACCAGCAGUUACAAACUUCUUUAUAUAUUGCAUCUAAAGUAGAGUGGUUCAAUUUCAACCCCCUCCAACUGAUCUCUUGAAGACAAUAAAAUCACAAACAACUAAACUAUUGGAGACCAAGGACUGAUUAACAACAAAAUUCAAAUUUUAACAAUUCAUUUUCCUUUCCAAAUGCAGUUAAGGGCUAAUACAAAUAGGUAAUGUCUAAUAAAAAGGACCCCUUUAUGGUGAAUUUUUAGAAACUUUGGUUAGUAAAAUUUGUGUCACAGGUUUAUUAUUGGCUGAAGAGGCUUAAUAAUAAAAGGUAAAAUUGUAAAUGAAUUUCCUAUUCUAUAAGAAAAUCUAUUUUGUGAAUAAAAAGAAAAAAGAAAAAACAAUUGUCAUUGUUCAGAGGUAUUUUUGAAUUUUUUUUAUACUUCUCUCAAUUUUGAAACUUUAUGGAUUUUCCUUACAAAAUAUCAACUGGACUGAUGCAAUUCUCAAACAUUUUGUAGUGAGAAAACUUCCAAAGUGUACUCAAGACUGCUUAAGAAAUAUUUACAAAACAAAUUUCCCAGUAGAUUUAAAUAGAAAUAUUAAAACCAAAAUUUCAAAAGAAGAAAUUUAUUCUGUAAAUAUUAAUUACCAAAAAUUCAGUUAGAAAGAGUUCUUAACUCCAUAUUAAUUGAUAAAUCAUUAAAAAAUUUACUAUCAGCAUGAAGUAGUGCCUUAUCACUUACGUUAUAAAUUCAUAUCUAUCAUAUAUUUAAUUAUUAUGUAAAAAAUAAAUAAAAUUAACUUAUUUGUAAUUAAUAAUAUUAUAUAUACAAUUAAAUGUGCAAAUCUAACAAAAAAAAAGGCCUUUCUUUUAGUGGAAUCUCAUCCCAUGCUUGAGCGCUAAGGUUUGACCUAUAGCCUUGUGGGUGAGCUUCAAUGAAUUUUUUAUGGGCUUAAGAGGAGCAGUCCUACAUCAAAAUUUUAAGAAAAAAGUAUGGUGCAUUUAAUAGACAAUGCCCCAAGCCAUCAUCACAAGCAAACCAUGGGUUGGGUAUGGACGGCAUAGACUCCAGGGGCCUUAAAAUUUUGAAGAACAUAAAUGCUGACGUGGCAGUGAAAUAGCCACAAUAAAUCGGGCAAAUAGUGAUGAAAUACCUUGAAAAUUAGAGCAAUGAGAUUUCCAUACCACAUUUUGACACCUUACCCUUGUACCUUGGUCCAACUUGUUUGUACCUUGGUUCAAUGACCUAGAUUUCAUUAUAAAUAUUCAAUUAUCCAAAUUUGGACUUAGCAUUUUCCUAGUUAUUUGGUUAUUUUGCAAAAGUGUUAAAAAUAGUAGGGUGGAAUGUAGGAAACCUUUCUUAUACACAUAAAGCCUGUAUAGGCAAAGUUACAAAUGACUCUUAGCUAGAAAUAAGGAAACAACCUGCUACUCAUUAGAAAAUAACACCCCACUACCACUACCACUACUUACGUGGAGAGACUAAGGACUAGCACCUCAUUAACCAUUUCUUAGAGGAUAGGGCAAAUGAAACAUACCACUAAGGUAAAAUAAAAUAAAUAAAUUUAAAACACAUACCAACCCGUUUCACAAAAAUUAGAACUCGCAAACAGUUGUUAAACAUAUAUUAGAUCCUUGACAUGAUUGAUAUGCUUCCGAGGAGAGCUGCCUUGUCCAUUAGCAACAAAGAAAUAUUGAUCCUUUUUCAAAUUCUAACAAAGAAUGUAUGUAGGCUGUAUAACAUUUUUAAGGACUAGGCAUAACCAACCAAACUUUUUUCGCUACUGAUUCUCAAGAUAUUACCUAAAAACAUGCAAAGACAAAAAAAUUCCAGACAUGAGCUAAAUCAAUUAAUCAAGAAAAAAUGGAUGAUUGAAAGAGAAAAUGAUGCAGUCCCUUUUCAGACUUGAUCAGUAACCUUCAUGUGGUUGAGCAAGUGACAAUGGUGUUGGCAUGGAUAUUGAAGACUUUGGGCUUUGUAACUUUUAGCAAAAGUAUAAAUAUAGUUAUGAAGGAGAUAAAAAAAACUUAUGUAAAUGACAUGGUAUUGAUCUUCAAUCUUAUCUCAAAAUAGAAUGAGAUAGAUUCAAAUAUAGGACCCGUUCUUUGCGGAGUCAGGAAGCAUAAUAUAAUGAAUGAUAGGAGUUCCAGAUUUUGACAUUCGUCACUAAGCCAACACCAUUCAUAAGCAGGUUUGUUUUAUUAUUGAAAAGAAACAUGAGAGGCAGAGCGUAGGCACCAGUACAAAAAAGACUUAUGAGCAUAAUACUUGGUAGAUGCUAUAAAAAAUGUGAUGGUGGCAGCAAUUAGCUUCCCAGCUUCAGGCUUUGUCGGGAAAAGUUGAGAUGCUAUCAACUUCAUAUGUUCAAAAAUUCGACAAAUAAUUAUAAAAAUAAUUCCUCUCUCACCAAGGAAAAUACUCUGAAAAAUUCCACUUUUGCUGCCUGUAUCAGCCAAAAAUAAAAUCAAGCUGACGAGAGUUAAAUAGAAACAUGGAUUCAAACAACACAAGUAAUAAUUACCUGAUAUGCAUCUCCAUGCUCAUGGUCAUCAUUUGGCUUUUUCCACACCUAGAGUGAUUAAAGUGAAUCAAUUGUUAGUUUAAGAUAAACUUGAAGCACCAUAACAUUUUGGUCACAUGCAAAGUCGUAUUCAUUUUCUCUUCAAUUACAAGAAGCAAGUCAACGAAAAAAAAAAAAAAAACAGAAAGAGUUAAUCCCCAAGUCUGAAUUCUCACCCUUCUCUAGAAAAACAGAGGAUAUGAAGACAAUGAGAAUUGAGACUCAUAGUUUUGCUGAUUCAAGUGGUACCAGAAGGUGUGACAGCACCAAUUAAGGCCACCACACUGCCUCCUUUCACUGCCUUCACUGCUUUAUCACACUGCCUUAUUAAUGUAGGAAUGAAAAAGUUGUGUUCAUCCACCAUCAAUUCACUCUAUCAAACAAGACCCAAACAGAUAUGGAGUAGAGGAAUUAAAUUUCAAUGAGCUAAAGUGGGAUAAAGGGCAUUUCAAAUAAAGGACAAUAGCGCAAUAAGUGACUCUUCAAAAUGAGCAAUAAAUACAAGAAUUUAUCAAAUGCAUAGUAAACUACAUUGAAUUUCUCUGCUAAAUCUUCAAACUUCUCCUUAGUGUAGUCAAUCGCCAAAUCAGUUCCCAAGCUCUUCAUUAGCUCCAGUUUUCCUGUGCUUGAAGUAGCAGCACGACUCUUGAGGCACCAAACUUGUUUUGCAUGCUGGCUCAAGCCAUAAAAAAAUGAGGAAAAAUGGAAUUAUUGUUUCUAUAUCGUAUUCAUUUGCCUUAUCCUAAUUAUUUAGGGGGCAACAGUAGCACAAAUUUUGUUCUGUUCGAUCUACUGAGAGCCCCUAUCUCGAUUUUUAACAACUAAUAAAUGGAGGAACCCCAACCAACUGCAACAGGAGGUUCAUAUUUUAGGUACAAAAGAUUUUUUUUCCACUGUAGGCCAUGAAUAGAUAACAUUUAAAAUGGAAAAUAAAUAAUUAGGAACUGAAAUUCAAAUGCCUAGAUGACAAGGCUUCCAACUCCACCAACACCACCCAAAACAAGAAUUGAUUUACCAACAGAAAAUCCAGUCCUUCCGAGACCAUCAUAGGUUGUCUCAAUUGUACGAGGAAGUCCAGCAGCUUGAACAAAAUCCAGAUUCUUUGGCUUUAGAGCCAACAGUUUCUCUUCAAUAGUAGUGCAUUUUGCAAAUGAGCUAAACUGCUUAGGCCCGUCCAAUGUUUUCUCAUUUAUGUUUCCAUAUAACUCUGAAUAGAGUAAAUAGAAAGGGAUCAUGCAGAAACCCCCAAGUAAUUGCGUAUUUCUUCUUUAAAAUGAAUUUCAGAAUUCUAUAGAUUGGUUACCAAUAGUCCAUGCAAGAACACACCUUCUCCAAAGUGAUGAAAACGUUUCCAAUCUCUGAUGGCAAUCUUCCUUUUAAAAACCUUUGAAACAAGCUUAAUUGCAUAGUAUUUCAUGGGGGAUGUCAUAUUUGGUAUCAAGACUUUGUCAUGCUAAAAGAAAAUGGACGUGGAGGGUAACAAUUUGGAAGGGAUGAAGAGGUCAAAGUUCAGCAUUUUUUUUUCCUCCAAAAUUUCUUGUUCUCGUGUAGGAUUCUUUAAGGGUAGGGCAGUUUGUCUUUUCCAUAUUUCAUUACUUGAGGUCAAGGGUGAUGGUUAAGCUUCUCUUGUUGAGCCCUUUUGUUUUUUUUUUUUUCCUUCUUUUUGGGGGUGGAAUUUUCUCAAUUUCUUUUGUGUUUUCAAAUAUGUUUUAGAAGUAAAUUUUAUGGAUAAUAUUUUAUUUUAAUCAUUCUUUAUCGUAUAAUUAUUUUUUAAAACAAUUCUCAUCAAAUAACAAAAAAAGUAAAAAUAAUUAAAAUAUAUUAAAAACAAACAAGGACCUUCUGAUCAUGGAUUCCUUGUUUGCUUCACUCCAUGCCUAAUAGUUUCCUCUUUCUUAGUAUUUAUUCUUCAACUUUACUUGUAUAAAUAAAUGGUUAGUUCCUUCAUCAAUGAAGGGUAGCUAGAGAACUAUCAAUACCAAUGAAUAGUGACACCAUAAUCACCCUUCAUUCUGCACAUUCACAUACACCUUAUCACCUCUAUGAAUCCGAAUGACCGGCCCUAGAAAGCUUUCAUUCACAGUUAGCAUGCUCUUUGUGCUGCACAACCUUGUCAAAUUGGACUUCUUUAGCUACAGGAGAUAAAAAGGAGAGGCAAUAUACAAUGUGACUAACAAAAAAGACCCUGGAUUCAGACAAAAACAGGCAAGUGUUAAGGUAAUACUCACAACAAAGUCAUAAAAAGAGACUUCCAAAGCAUAUUCAUGGGACAUGUAGCUACUUUCAUUAUUAGAACAAUUCAAUUAGUAGUUGUUUCAUUACAAGUAUGUAUAUACACACAUGCAAAAAAAAAAAAAAAAAAGGCCAUGUUAUGUGAGAAUCCACAUAUUUUUAGGAACAAAAGCUCACCAAAUGACCAAAUUACUAAAGGAGAAAGCAUCAACAGAAGAAAAAUGGAUACAAGAGAGCUACUCACCAUAACUGUGAAUAAUGAAAUAUUCACUAGAAGUGCAGAAGGGGUUGUUUUAUUUUAUUUUAUUUUUCCAUCAUAUGGACAGAUAACAUCAUAUGCAGGAACAGGUCUAAAGAGAGCAUUGGGCAACUCAGCAGAAACCACACUUGAUAAACUCACUUGGAUCAAGUAUUAAUGAUUAAAAUCAUUUAAAUACUGAUCUUUACAUUAUCCUAUAACGUUUUCUUUUCAUUUAAAUGCAUUGUCAUCAUAAUUUAUAAGAUGAAUGCAUUACUCCCAAAUCAACCCAUUUAAUUCUCAAUUCAUCAUAACCGAGGAGCUGUCUCAUUGAAGUCAUGUGUUGCUUAAGCACCAGUUUUAAUAAUUUAUCAUCCCAUAAAGCAACCAUAAGUUCAUGUUUAACUUCAAACCCACCAAAGAGGAAAUAAGAAUUUCCAAUACCUAACAAGUCAAAUUAUGAGCAUAAAUACAUACAUUUUAAGCAUGUGUGAUGAAAUAGAUAAUUCUAUUCCCCAAAAUUAACAUAAGAACAAUAUAAUAACAGAUGCAAAUAUAUUUUGAUUCAUUCAUAAUACAAAUAAGAGGCCUCUUAAUACAUACUUCUUAGGCCAUUGGCGUCAGAUUCUUUAAGUCUUGCAGUGAUAAUCUCCCUGGCAAACAACCAAAACAUAACCGAUCUAAAUUCCACCUGCCAAGAUACCAUGAUUUUCAAUUAUUAUAUGAGCAGAAACAUUGAAAGAGUUGGACAAUCCAUCAAAAUUGAUUCAGCCUAUCAUCUUUUUCGACAGCAGAAUAUGUAGGCAUGCCACAAUCCGAGAUAGAUAAAGUAUGAAAACCAAAUUUUAGAUUUAAGUAUACCGUAUAGGUUGAAGCACUAUUCCUAGGGAAGACAAAACCACCAACUAUAGACCUGAUAUCAUUAACAAAGAUACACAGCCCCAAAUUCGCAAUAUCCUUCAUUACAACACAUUCUUCUCAGUCCCUUAAAUGCUUUGAAAUCACAAUAACAAAUAAAAAGCGCAAAGAUAAUGCUCAAUCUCUAGACCUUGUCUAAGAAGAGACUCUCAAGCUCUCAUUUGAUGGCUCCACUGAGAGGAAGGUCCAGAAGAUGAGGUGGCAAUCCAUGCUUAAGACCUUUUAUAUAUAAUUAUUUUGUGUAAAAUUAAUAUUGAAUUAAUUAGGCUUAACUUGUAAUAUGAUAUAAUUCAAAUCAUGCAUUUGGGUUUUGUUUCAUGUAAUUUGAAAUGAAAUAAGAUAAAUCACUUUGUUUCUUAUGCAAUUUUUGUUUGCAUUUAAAAAUUUUGAGAUACUAUAAUUAUUUCAAGUAUGAGUGCUUUCCAAUAUUUAGUUUUUUUAUUCUCUUUUUUUCCUCCCCACAGUAGUAGACCGAGAAUUUCUUUUCCAAAUUAUUAUGGAGAUAAAACGGAAUGAUUGCACUAUUAUUUGUUCUUUAAAUGCACUUGUAAGAUAAAUUUUGUCUAUAAUGUUCUUUGGGAUCAUCAAAAGAUGCAUAUGGGUUCUCUAUUAGACUUCUACAUAUCUUGGGUUUUUAUCUUAUUCAUUUGUCUCUAAAGUUGUGUGUUUGUUUAUCUCUGUGUAGGGGUUAUCGGGCUACAAGGCUUAAAAACUAGCUCUCCCGACACUCAUGGUAAACAUAUGUAGUUGAAAACAUUUGUUUUGUCAUGCAUGAGAGAACCUUAGACGAGACUCAAAAACUUGAAAGAAUAAAGGGAAGAUGUUGUCCUUUAUGAUGGGAUGUAUGGCGUUAUGAUCUUAAAUCUUUUGUGUUAUUUCCUGGUUAUAUCUAAAACUUCCUCUGGUUUUGCAUGUCUCAUAUUAUUUUUGGUAGUUCUCUUAGCUUGGAUCUGGUAAGGAAUGAAUAAAAUAAAUUAAAGUAGAGAAAGAUUCAAUAUGCAUUGACAUUGAGAAUGAAAGUUUGGACGGUGUGUAUCAAAUAGGGAACAAAACUAUGAAUAUGAGGGUCCAAUGUGUUCAGAGUAUGUAGGAUAGCGAACCAUAGCUAUGUGGUAGCACCUUGGUUACUAGCCUUUCUAAUCAACCUCAGCCGAUUUAGACUUAUUUAAGUGGUAUCAUUAGUUGAAAAUGUGUCAUGGGGUAUGACACUAUAUUAUUCUGAGCUUAAAUUUUUGUGAUUUUGGAUGGGGAUAGCAUUGAGAUUGCUUAAUAAUACCCUAUUCAACUUCUUUUUUUUUUCUUUUUUUUUUCUAAUUUUGAUCUUCAUAGAAAUGUGAAAUUGAUAACCAUCUCUCUUUGUAAGGAAUCCCACUUUACGUUGCAUUGGCAUGGGCAUAGGCAUACAACAUAGGCUAGUGAAUGUGUGUCAAUUUUAGGUAUGAGGUGUGAAACAUGAGCUGAUUGUGGAUAUCUGCAUUGCAUGAACUUUAUGGUUUCGGGAUUCAUAUUCUUUUAUUUCUAAUAACCCAAACUUGUGAGAUGGGUUUGGGACAUGAGAGUUGGCCCACCCACCCUUUGGUUAAACACUUUUCCCUCCUCUUAUAAUCAGGAAAAAUAAGGGAUAUAAGUGAAAAAGAUUGCAUUUAGGGAUUGAACAAAAGAGAGACUAAAGAUGGAGGUAAAGAAAAUAUAGGGCUAAGUGUAACAAGAUCAUUAACAAAUGCAAUUUGAAUGAAUGAAAAUAUCUUGAGUGUGGGUAUCACAUGUAUGCUUUGGAUGGUUCUUGGGUCCCACUCUUACCAUAAAAAAUCCUUGGAUUACUUGGUGUUGGCUAUCCUUAUAUAUGUUAAGGCUUGUUUUUUUAGUCUAUUUUGAGCAAUUUUUACGCCUAAAAAUGAUUUUCCAAAUUGAUUUUUGACAUUUAGGAUUUUACUAAUUUCUUAACAAAAUAUCUCAUUUUUAUAAUAUAUUUUUAUUAUAAAAUUGAGUAAAUAAAAUAAAAAAUGAUUUAAAAUAUGAAAAAAUUAAAAAUAUAAAAAUAAAAUAUUUAUUUUUCAUUAUCAAUUUAUCAAUUUUUUAAAAACAUUUCCCUCUUUUCUUUAUUCGAAAGCAUCUCUUUCUAUAUCUAAUUGAUUGCUUAAGAAAAUUAAAAAAAUAUACAAAUGUGAAAUAUAGCUAGUGGUAAAAACUUUGUUCUUAAUACAAGCUCAUUGACAUUCAAAACAUUAAAAUUAAAAAAAUAAGAUUAUUUUAUAGUUUCUAGCUUAAAUAUAACAUUUGUUUGUACACAUCUUCUUUAUAAUAUCUUCAUUUUUUUCUCAUAAUCUAUUAUUUUAAUUUCUUUUCUUCACUUAGCUUCUCUCUUUUAUUAUGUUUUAAUUUAAUUUUUUUAGUACUAAUGUUUUUAUUAGUUUUCUUUCAAUGUUAAUUAGUUUUAAAAGUUUUACUUUAUGAAAUAGUGAUAAUGAGUUAUAUAAAUUAUUUGAGUUAAAGAUUUAAAUUAAAAUCCUGCUAAAUUUUAAUUUGUUUGUAAUUUUAAAAAAAUCUAAAUAGAGAAAAAGAUGUUGAAGAAGGAAAAGAUAAACAAAAGAUAUGAAUUAAUAGAGUGGUGAAUUUUUAUAUUUUAUUUUAUAUUUUCAUGUGGGAAUUUAAUAUUUUGUUUUUGUUAUUAGUUUUAAUCUUAUUUUUAAUCUUUCUUUAACAAUAACUAAUAAAAUUUGUAUUUAAUUUUAUAAUGGAAAGAGAUAAAAAGAUGUAUUUUUGUAAGAAACAUUAGAUGAUUAAAGUAUUUAAGUAUCAAAUUAUCGUGUUAUUCCAGGAUUAGGGAUGUCAAGUUUUCAUUCUUUUUUGUUGAAUGACUUAAGUUUCAUAAUAACGUUGUUUAGAACUUGAGUUUUAAAAUAGCAAACAUGAAAGAAGAUUCAUGAAUUUUUCACUUAAUGCAUGCAAAUUCUAGGUUACACUUAGGACAUCAUAUGGUGUCCCUCUAACAUAAUGGUAGUACUAAAUCAUUCCUCAAUUUGAGAACAUGAUUUACAAUGCUAAAGCUUGAUAAUAAUUAUGGUGUCAUCUAAAGCCUAAAUUGUUGGAUGAUCAAAUUGACAGGUUGUUAGUCCUAUUUAUUUAUUUAUUUUUCAAGUAAACUUUUCAUAACUCUUGAAGGGCUUGGAGGUUGCUUUAAAAUGCUAUCACUUUGGUUGCGUAAUUAGAGAUCAUAAUUGAGUAAGUUGCAAGUGAACUUGAUUUUCCUAACAAUUAAUAACCAACCAAACAUAAGUAGAUCAAUUGUUGCACAAUGAGCAGACAAGUGAAAGAGUCAUUUGGAUCAUGUUAUCUAAGGUCGAUUAUCUAAGAAGAACAUUCCAUCCAAUUAGACUCAUUUCAUAAAUCAACAAAUCUCAACUUGAAUGAUUGUAUUCAUGAGGCAUUCUCGAAUAUAUUUAACUAAAAUCAUGUCAAAGAUUCCUUUAUCAUAUGUAUUUCAUAAUUUAUGAAAUGUCAACACACGCAAUACAAGAAGUUGAAUACUCAUAAAUUAAAACUUUCAUCAUUGUGCAAGACCGCAUACUUAACAAAAACAUUUUGUUAGGGAUAUAACAAUGAACAUAACAAAAUGCAUAUGAAAAUCUAGCAUAUGUUUGAAGAAAUAAACUCUCUCGAAUGAAGGAAAUGAUUGAAGGAAACAUCAUUAACAAUUUCUCUUUCAAAUACUGCAUCUGCACUUCAUCUUAAAUAAGGCAAAACAUAAAGUAAAUCUAGUGUACCUAAAAAAAUGAAAAUAAUAAGAACAAAUAGGAAUGAUGCCAUUUCAAUAUAAAUAAAAGAAAAUCUAGUAAACCCAAAAAAAUGAAAAUGAUACCAUUUCAAUAUAAAUAAGGUAAAACUUCGCAAUAGUGUUUGUAAAAUAUAUUACAAAGAAAGAAAAAAAAAAAAAAACAAACCAUAUUCUUGCUUCUAGAUAAAAAGAUGGUUUCUAGCUCCAUCCUAUUAAUAUUUAAUGUUUUUUAAAAUUAAAAUUUCUUUAAUCUUGUUUUUCAUUUCCUUUAUAUUUUAUUUAUUAUUCACUUUUUAUAUUAUUUGAAAAUAAUUUUUUAAUUAAUGAAGUUUAUUAUUACAUGUUAAUAGUAAUCAUACAAAAUAUUAUUCUUUUUUUAGUAUUCAUCUUGAAAGUUAUAUUUAUCAUAAAUUUAUAUUCUAUCAUUCGCAUGCUAUACUAAUUUAAAUUACCAAAGGUUUUUUCAUUGUAAAAAAAGUGUAUUAUUUAGUUAAAUUAGAUUAAAAUAAAGGAAGUUAAUUAUUAUGAAAGUAAAGAGAUAGAAUAUUCACAAUUUUUUUAAUCUAUUACAUAUAAAUUCUAUAAUUUUUUUUUCAAAUAAGGGUGAUUUGAUUGUAUUUUGGAAGAAUGAUAAUUAAUCUCUUAUAUGAAAUAUAUUUAAAAUUAAAUUAAUUUUUUAAUUUAAUAAUUUGUUAUUAAACAUUAAUAUAAUCUUCAUACUUUUUUAUUUUAUUUUUAUAGAAUAUUUUUGUCAAUAAUUCCAAAAAAAAGUAUAGGGAGAAAUAAAAAGUAUGAGAGAGAAAAAUAAAAAGUACGGGAGAAAACUAACCUUUUCACGAAAGAGUACUACAUCUUUCGCAGGUCUUCCAUUCUACAAUUAGUGAUAUGCAACUCUUUGAGGUAUUGAAUAUUCAUGAGUGUCACAAGAGAGGAAAAAUAUUUCAUGCUAUCAUUCCCAUCUUUGAUCUAGGUAGAUUCUCCAUCAUCAAGGUUUCUAACUUUGGGAGGAUCUCGACAUUUCCAUCAAUUUCUUGAAGAACAAUCACAUGUUCUAGGAGUUCACAAUAUUGCACAUAUAUCUUUUUUAAAUUUUGGAAGGUGUGUAUCAAAUGAGUUGGGACAAGAUUGAGUAGACAUGGACAUUUGCACACCCUUAAGAUCUGUAGAUUGGAGAAGGAUUCAAACGGAAGUUGAUGAUGCCAUAUAUCCUUCAACUUGGGUAGAUUUUUGAGUGUUAACUCCUCUAACUUAGGGAAUGAAACCUAUAACAUGAUACAUGAAAUCAUCAAUUAGAAAGUUAUAAUAAAUAUAAAUAUAUUCCUUAAAUAUAAUUCAUCAACUUGGGAUUAUUCACAUGUAUACUUUAAUUAUGUUUAAAAAAAUGAAACAAGAAGGAUUCUCAUGCCACAAAUGAUUUUUAUUCAUAUCAAUAAUUUAUUAUUUUAAAUCAUAUACACUCUUUUAUUUUCUCCCAUUAAUAAAUUCUUGUGAAUGUCUUCUUUAAAUUUCAUUUUUCUUUUAAAAGAUUUUGAUGAUUUCACUCUUCAUUUUUUAUUUUUUAUUUUUUUGUAUUUAUUCCUAUAAACCUGACUUUUUUCUUAUUUAAAGUAAAAUACUAAUUUAAAUUACCAAAGGUUUUUUCAUUGUAAAAAAAGUGUAUUAUUUAGUUAAAUUAGAUUAAAAUAAAGGAAGUUAAUUAUUAUGAAAGUAAAGAGAUAGAAUAUUCACAAUUUUUUUAAUCUAUUACAUAUAAAUUCUAUAAUUUUUUUUUCAAAUAAGGGUGAUUUGAUUGUAUUUUGGAAGAAUGAUAAUUAAUCUCUUAUAUGAAAUAUAUUUAAAAUUAAAUUAAUUUUUUAAUUUAAUAAUUUGUUAUUAAACAUUAAUAUAAUCUUCAUACUUUUUUAUUUUAUUUUUAUAGAAUAUUUUUGUCAAUAAUUCCAAAAAAAAGUAUAGGGAGAAAUAAAAAGUAUGAGAGAGAAAAAUAAAAAGUACGGGAGAAAACUAACCUUUUCACGAAAGAGUACUACAUCUUUCGCAGGUCUUCCAUUCUACAAUUAGUGAUAUGCAACUCUUUGAGGUAUUGAAUAUUCAUGAGUGUCACAAGAGAGGAAAAAUAUUUCAUGCUAUCAUUCCCAUCUUUGAUCUAGGUAGAUUCUCCAUCAUCAAGGUUUCUAACUUUGGGAGGAUCUCGACAUUUCCAUCAAUUUCUUGAAGAACAAUCACAUGUUCUAGGAGUUCACAAUAUUGCACAUAUAUCUUUUUUAAAUUUUGGAAGGUGUGUAUCAAAUGAGUUGGGACAAGAUUGAGUAGACAUGGACAUUUGCACACCCUUAAGAUCUGUAGAUUGGAGAAGGAUUCAAACGGAAGUUGAUGAUGCCAUAUAUCCUUCAACUUGGGUAGAUUUUUGAGUGUUAACUCCUCUAACUUAGGGAAUGAAACCUAUAACAUGAUACAUGAAAUCAUCAAUUAGAAAGUUAUAAUAAAUAUAAAUAUAUUCCUUAAAUAUAAUUCAUCAACUUGGGAUUAUUCACAUGUAUACUUUAAUUAUGUUUAAAAAAAUGAAACAAGAAGGAUUCUCAUGCCACAAAUGAUUUUUAUUCAUAUCAAUAAUUUAUUAUUUUAAAUCAUAUACACUCUUUUAUUUUCUCCCAUUAAUAAAUUCUUGUGAAUGUCUUCUUUAAAUUUCAUUUUUCUUUUAAAAGAUUUUGAUGAUUUCACUCUUCAUUUUUUAUUUUUUAUUUUUUUGUAUUUAUUCCUAUAAACCUGACUUUUUUCUUAUUUAAAGUAAAAUAUUAUUGACAGUUUUUCCUUAUUUUUAUACUCAUUCCUAUUAAUAUUUAAUGUGUUUAAAAUUAAAAUUUCUUUUAACCUUAUUAGUUUUUCAACUCCUUCAUAUUUUAUAUAUUAUUCAUUAUUUUUAUAUUAUUUAAAAUGAAAUGUUUAAAUAAUUGUAACAUGGUGGAGUUUGGAAAGUGCAUGUGGGCCCACUCUAGUUUUUCUUUUGACUUAUAUUGACAUAAAGUGGUGCAAAAUAAAUAAAUAAAUAAAAUAAAACCAAUGAAAUUGGCUAAUAAGCUUUAACAUACCUUAUGACUGAAAAAUGAGCCUUCCGACCUUGCAUUUGUACUCAGAGAUGUGGAAGAUGUUGUUUCUAACUUAGAACUGAAGUUGAUGAGUUGCGGUAGAUUCUCGAGUUUCAAAGAUCGCAAUUUUGGGAAUAGUUGCAAGUUGGUCCCAACAUGUCCAUCUUUUGUUAUUUCUGACUCCCUUUCAUAUGUGAUUAUUUGUUGCAUUGCAUUGCAAUCUUUUAUUGUCAUUUCUUCAAGUUGGGAAAGGCCUCUAGCUGUGGAAAGCAAAAGGAGAAAUUUCAAUUUAGGACAUGAAUCCACAUUUAGAGUUUUUAAGUUACCAACAGACCCUAUUGGAAUUGGGCCAUGCCAUACUUCUUCCAAAUUUUUCAAAGUCUGAAGAAUCAAUGACUCCAAUAGAGGAAAGGCACCAUGUUGCAGAAACCAUUGAUCCUUUGAAUCAAUGAUAUAUUGAAUCUUGGGACUGUCACCAACUCGAAGAUGCUUCAGUUCACGAAAACUCUCCCUAUCUGAUGGGUAAAGAACAUAUUUAGUACNNNNNNNNNNNNNNNNNNNNNNNNNNNNNNNNNNNNNNNNNNNNNNNNNNNNNNNNNNNNNNNNNNNNNNNNNNNNNNNNNNNNNNNNNNNNNNNNNNNNGAAAACUCUCCCUAUACUGAUGGAUAAAGAACAUAUUUAGUACCACUUAAUUCCCAGAACUCUAGUUCUUCACUUCUCUCCAACAACUUGCUAAUUCCAUCCCCCAAGUAUAAGCUUCUAUUGACUUUCUUGAGCUUCAAUGCUCUUUUGGUUCUCAACCCCCAACAAUUACCCAUAGAUAUCACAUACCUUGUCAAGUUCUCAAAUAGAAUGUCUUUUGGUAGCAACUUAGCAUCUGGUAUUUUUAUAGAUAAAGUUGUCAAAUAAGACAAAUGAUUUAGCUCAGAUAAACAAGCAUUGCUUUCACCUUGAACCGCCCAUUUAGUAAAGCUAGAUAUCAUACUCAAACAUUCCAAUCGAGACAAACUUGAUAAGAUAUUUCGUGGAAUGACUUCAAGUUGUUUGCAAUCAUUCAAGUCCAACAACCUUAGAUUGGUCAAUUGCACCAUUUCAUUAGGCAAUUGUUGGAUUGUAGAACCCACCAAGCUAAGAACUUCUAGUUUCGUUAGUUUUCCAAUUAGAGCAAUGUCUCCCAACUCGCACCCAUCUAGACACAAUGUUCGGAGAUUUGCAAGGAAAUCAAGUGAUGAAGGUAAUGUUGUAAAAUGCAUAUGGGACAAAUCCAAAACUUUGAGUUUUUUCAUCCCUUCGAAAAAUGUGUUCGGGAUAUUCAAUGAAGGAUUUUUGCUAUGCAAUAGAAAAGAUUGAAGGUCCGGACAUACCAACCCUUGAGGAAGCUCACGCACAACUUUGCAAUUCAAAGAGAUGAAAGUGCACAUUUUGGAGUCAUCAGUCUCUGACCAUUCUUCAAAUCCAACAUCUUCUCUAACUACAAAUGGAUGAGGAUCCUUGGAUGCAAUUGCCCUGGCAACUUCACGAACAACACUAUGCAUCCUCACAAACUUGUUAUUAGCGUCCAUGAAAAGCAAACUUGAAGCUCUUUCUACAUUACAAUUGUGUCUAUCUUCAUGACAGUCAAGUAACAAGCCUGAGGCUCUAAGGAUUUCCACCAAUGCAAGUAGUUUAUUUCUUGCUUGCUCCAAUGAGUCGAUGUGGCCAAACAAAUCCAGACCCAUACCAUAUCGUAACAAGAGAUCCAAUGAAAUAUCACUAUGGUCCAGCAUCCCACAAAGUAAGAACAAUGACUUAACGUCAAUACCCUUCAAAUGGGUGUAGCUCCACUCCAGACAUGAGUAAACCUUAUCCACUGCUCUAAUGUUUGUUAGUGCACAACUCCUGAGUUGUUCCAAGGCAUUCUUCCAUACAGCCACAGUCUCAUCUUUUAAUGCCUUUGCAAUUGUUACAAUUGCAAUUGGCAGACCCUCACAUUCUUCAACUACUUGAAUGGCUAUGGGUUGCAGUUCAAGAUUCUCCUCCACGGAAUCACCUGUUGUCUUCUUAAAAAGACUCCAAGCUUCUUCUAGUGGUAAAUGUUCCACCUGAAAACAAAUUUGUGCGCCCAUGUAUUUGCAUAAUAGGUCUCCAUCUCUCGAAGCCAACACUAUUUUGCAUUGUGUCUCAUCGCCUUUAGAAGGAAUUCCUACUUCCUCCAAAUCAACUUCCGUCCAAAUAUCAUCUAAGAUAAUAAGGAUCUUCCCUUCCUUCAGUCUCUGCUUCAGUUUCUGCUUCAAUUCAUCCGCUCUUCUGGAUUCAUCCUUCCUCCUAAGUGUGAAGCCCAACGCUUUUGCAAUUCUUUGUCGAAGAUUUUCCGAGUCUGGAAUGGAAGAUAAAUCAAUAUAGGCUUGUCUAUUGAACAAAUGGUGUUGCUUAGCUUGUUGAGCCACUUGUUUCAACAGUGUUGUUUUGCCCACACCGCCCAUGCCCCAUACUCCAAUCAAGUUGAUAUUCUCGUCUCUUAAGGCAUCAAUAAUUUUGUUCAAAGUGGAGGCUCUUGAUUCAAGGAAUGAAGCCUGUAGCAAAAACACAACAUAAGGCAUCAAUUGGAAAGUUGUGAUGAUAGGCAUAAACAUAUUUCUUAAAUAUAAUUCAAUUCAAUUCUGAAAUAGUCUCUCGCAUGUUCACUUCUGUUACAUUAUAAAAUUUUCAUUAGUGAAAGAAAAAGUAAUUACCAUUCUAAACAAUUUCCCAAAAAAUCAAAUAACUAUUAUAAUAUUAAUAUCCUUCAAGAAAAACAAUUCAAAUGGGUUUAUGAACAAACUAUAAAUAAAGUAUGAAUAAUGAAAAAAAUUAAUCAAAAAAAUACAAAAUCACAAAACUUGCAUCAUUGAUACAAAGAAAAAACUUUUAACUUUUCUUUUUAAAAAAUGUUCCGUUUAUUUUGAUAUUAACAAAAAAAUAAUGCAUAAUUUUCUUUUAAGAAAAAGAGUAAAAGAGAAAAACUAUUCAUAUUAAAAAUGAUGUAUAUGUAUAUGUAUAAUUUCCAUGUAAAAAAUAAUAUUCAAGAUUGUAUUUUUAUAUUUUAAAAAAUAAAGUUUAUUAUUUUAAAAGAAUAAUAAUUACUCUCCUUAUAAGAAAUAAAGUAUGUCUUACUCUUUUUAUUUUUAAAAAUAAAAAAUUAUAAAAAAGAAUUCUUUAUGAAAGUUUUGUAAAANNNNNNNNNNNNNNNNNNNNNNNNNNNNNNNNNNNNNNNNNNNNNNNNNNNNNNNNNNNNNNNNNNNNNNNNNNNNNNNNNNNNNNNNNNNNNNNNNNNNNNNNNNNNNNNNNNNNNNNNNNNNNNNNNNNNNNNNNNNNNNNNNNNNNNNNNNNNNNNNNNNNNNNNNNNNNNNNNNNNNNNNNNNNNNNNNNNNNNNNNUAAAGUAUGUCUUACUCUUUUUAUUUUUAAAAAUAAAAAAUUAUAAAAAGAAUUCUUUAUGAAAGUUUUGUAAAAGCACAUAAUUUUUUUUUUCCAAAGAAAAAGAGUAAAGGAGAAAAAAAAAAGUCCAAAAUUUAAAAAAAAAAAAUGUACAUGUAGUAUUUCCACAUACUAUAUAUAUAUAUAUAUUGUCAUUUAUUAAUGUUAUAAUAUAUUUUCCAUGUCUCCAUGCUCUCCUCUACUAUUCUAUAUAUAUAUUUUGUCAUUGAAUUUUUAAUUUUUUAAGAGGGAAAAUAUAUUCUGUUACUUCAUUUUGAAGAAUUGUUUUAUCUUUAACGUAUUAUAUCCAUCAAUUGGAAAAUUGUGAUGGAAUAUUUUGGGGAAAUUCCGGUAAAUCAAGGAUUAAAAAUCGCCUAAACAUAGAGAAUUUAUUGGGCCCUCAUAAUACCCUUCUGUUCUUUUAUUAUUAUUUUCCGUUAAAACUAACAAAAAAGAGGGAUGACUAAAACAAGGUCAGACAAACAGGCCAACUGCAGUGCCAGCAAAGCAGUGAAAAAUGGAAAUAGGGUAUAUAGUUUUGGGAAGAGUUGGCAUUUAGACAACUGCUUACUUUUUGUUUCAUACACACAUUUCAUAUAUUAAAAUUACCCAAUAUUUCCGGGUGAAAAUCUCUCGAUUUGAUUUAUAACAAAAAAAAAUUCAAAAUUAUUUUAACAUAACUGGGAUUAAAAUAUUUGAAAUUUUUUUAUUAUUUUCUUUUAUUUUUCAAUAGAAAAUGAUUAAAAUUUAUUUUAUUUAAAAUAAAAAGAUUCAUUAUUAAAACUAAUAUUUAUGAUCUCCUAUUUGAUGACAAUUUUUUUAUUUUAUAAAAAUUAAAAUACCAUUUAAGAAAAAAAUUGUUUUUGUAAAAUUAAAGCACCAUAUAAAUAAAUAAAUUAUUAAUAAUUAAUUAACUUAUUGAUAUUAUUUAUAAAACCUUUAUAUAACAAAUGCAUAAAAUAAAAUUGAAUUAAACAUACUAGAGCAUGAUAAAUUUAAAUAAAAAUAAAAUCAUUUUAUACUAAAAAAUUCUUAUUAUCUUGAUGGUAGGAGAUGUACUUAAAAUAAAACAAAAUUUAAAUUUAAUUUAGAGCACAAUAAAAAAAUAGAACAUAUAUAUAUAUAUAUAUAUAUAUAUAUAUAUAUUUAGUUUUUCCAUUUGUUAAAUAAAAAGUAAUUUUCCCUCCACACAAUUUCCUAAAAAACCAAACAACUAUUAUAAAAUCACUAUCUGUCACGAAAUAUAAUUUAAAUACGGCUUCAGGAAAAACAUUAAAUAAAGUAUGAAUAAUUAUAAUUAAUCAAAACAUAUAAAAUAAAAUAUAAAAUUACAAACUUACAUAAUUGAUACAAAGAAAAAGUUCAUAACUUUGUUUUUUGAAAAAUAUUACAUUUAUUUUUAUGUUAACAACAAAAUAACACAUAAUAUUUUUUAAAUAAAAAAAAAUGAGAGUAAAGGAGAAAUGAGAUCCAAAUUAAAAAGGAUGUAUAUAUAUAAUUUAUAUGCAAUAAAUAAUAUCUAGGAUUGUAUUUUUAAUUUUUUUUAAAUGUUAAAAUAAAGAUAAUAAAGGCAAUUUAAUUGUUAUUUUAAAAGAAUGGAGUUUAAUAUUUCAAGAAAGCAGUAUAACGAAAAAUAAAAAAUAGUAGAGACAACUAACCUUUUCAUUGGAGAGCACUUCAUCAUUAGUAGAAGUAUUGACACUUCUGGUGUCUUCCAUCCCACAAUCAAUGAUAUGUAACUUUAUGAGAUUGUGAAAAUUCUUGAACAUUGAAGGAGACAAAACACAUCUCUUGCUGAUAUUCUUACCCUUGCAUAUAAUAUAUCUUAGUUGAGGUAGUUUCUCUAACCUUAGGAUUUUUAACUUUGGGAGGAUCCCAAAAUCUAUCUCCUUCAACUUUGGAAGACUUUCUAGAUACAACUCCUCCAAAUUAGGAGAGAAUGAAACCUAUAUGAGAAACACAAAAUACAAUAUGUGACAUCAUCAAUUAUAAAAGUGUAAUAAAUAUAAAAAUAUUGGGUUAAUAUAAUUCAUUAACUCUCAAAUCAUAUACAAACUUUAAUAAUUUUCUUUUUAAAUUUAUUUUUCCUAUUAAUAAUUUCAAUAAUUUCACUUUUAAAUUUAUUGCUAUAUUUAUUUCUAUUAACACUUAACCUUUUUUUAUUUAAAUUAGAAUGAAAUUUACAAUGUUUCUUUUUUGUUAUGUUUUUUAUAUUGAUAUUUAAUGUUUUUAAAAUUAAAAAUUCCAUUUUUAACUUUAUUCUUGUUUUCAACUCCUUUAUAUUUUAUUUUUUAUUCACUAGUUCUUUUUAUUUGUUUUUUUAUUUUUUUGAAACUAAAUAAUAAAAUUAUUAACUUUGAUGGUUAUUUUAAAUCAAGAUUAAUUAUUCUCCUUAUAUGUAAUAAAAUUUGUUUUAAUUAGUUUCCUUGUAUCAAAUAAAAUAUGUUUUGCUCUUUUUUAUUUUCAUCUAACAUCUUAACCCAAUUUUCCCAAAAGUUAUUAAUUUUAACUAUUCUAAAAUUUAAAUAAAAUAUUAUUAUUUCAAUUAAAUUUUCACUAGUUCUCAUUUCUAAUUCUUUGCAAUAUUUCUUUCAAUUAGUACCUAUUUUUUUUCCUUUCUAAAUUAAAGUAAUAACUACCAUUUUUCCUUAUUUUUAUAUUAUUUCUAUUAACAUUUAUCCUUUUUAAAUUAAUUUUUCACUUUAAAAUUUUAUUUUUUUCAACUCAUUUGUAAUUUACUUAUUAUUCACAAUUUUUCUUAUUUUAAAUUAAAUUUUAAAUUAAUUUAAUAAAAUUAUUAUUAAAGAUCAAUGUACUCUUUUUCAUAUUUUUUUUAAAAAAUUAUUUUUAUCGUAUAUCUCCCUAAAUAUUUCAAGUAGUAUAAGAAAAAAUAAAAACAAAUUGGAAAAAACUAACCUUUUCAUCCAAGAGCAUCCCACAAUUAAUGAUACUUAAGUCUUUGAGGUGAUGAAAAUCCUUGAACUUGGAAAAAGAUAAAAGGCGUGGACAAUUACACACACUUAGGAUCUCUAAUCUACGGAAGGAUUCAAGUGAAAGUUGAUGAUGCCAUAUCAUCGUCAACUUGGGAAGACCAUCGAGUGUUAACUCCUCCAAAUUAGGGAAUGAAACCUACAGAGAUACAAUGUAAUACAUAACAUCAUCAAUUAUAAAGUUACGAUAAAUAUAAAAAUAUUCUUUAAACAUAAUUCAUUAACUCUUAAAUAUUCACAUGUUCACUUCUAUUAUAUUUAAAAAAUAUAUAAUUUUACAAGAAACUUUGAUAAAUCAAAUUAAAACGAAUCAUGUUUCAUAAAUGGUGAUCAAGAGCUUUGCUUGGCAAACAAUCAUUCAUUUUCUUUCAUCUAUCAUAGAUAAGUUCUAUAUGCAACCAUUUAUUAUUUCAUUUUAAAUCAUAUACACAUUUUAACAAUUUUAUUUUUAAAUUUAUUUUUCUAAUUUAUGUUUUCAAAUUUAUUUUAUUAUUGAGUCUAUAUUAUAGAUAUUCUCAUACUAAAUUACUUUUAUUUAUCUCUAAUCAUUUAUUUCUCUAUAUUAAAUCAUAUACACUAUUGGAUUAUUUCUUAUAAAUAAAUUCUACUAAAUACUUUAUAAAAUUUAUUUUUUCAAUUAAAAAUUCCUCUAAUUUCCCUUUGCAAUUCCUUGCAAUAUUUAUUCCAACUUGCACCAAUUUUUUCCUUUUAAAUUAAAUAAUACUUACCAUGAUUCCUUAUUUUAUAUUAUUUCUAGUCAUAUUUAUUGCUUUUAAAACUAAAAUUUUGGUAUUAAGUUUUUUUUUUUUCAACUCCUUUAUAAUUUAAUUAUUAUUCACCAUAUUUUAUUAUCUAAAAUUAAAUUUUAAAUUAAUUUGAUAAAUCUAUUAUUAAAUAUUAAUAUAAUGUUCUCAUAAUUUUUUUAUUAUUUUAAUGGAAUAUCUUUUUUCAAUAUUUCCCAAAAUAGUAUAAGGAAAAAAAAUGGAAAAAAACUAACCUUUCCAUCGAAGAGCACUACAUCUUCCCUAGGAGUAUUGAUAUGUUCCUCAUCUUCAACUUUGUUCCCAUAAUCUUGGAUGGAUAGGAAUUUAAGGUUGUGAAAAGCCGUGGAAGAAGAGAAAAGACACCUCACGCUAUCAUUCUUGUCCUCAUCCUCAUUGCACACAACACGCCUCAACUUAGGUAGUGUCCAUAACCAUAAGGAUUCUAACCUUGGGAGAAUCCUAAUAUUUUCAUCAAGUCCUUGAAGAUCAAACACAUGUUUUAGGGCUUCACAGUUAUCUACGUCCAUCUCUUUCAAAUUGUCGAAUCUCUGUAUCAAAUGAGACGGAAUAAGAUUGAGUAGGCAUGGACAAGAGUAAACUUUUAGGAUUUGCAAAUUGUAGAAGGACCCAAGUGGAAGUUGGUGAUGCCAUAUCUCCCUCAAUUUGGGAAGAUUAUGAAGUAUCAACUUCUCCAAAUUAGGGAAUGAAACCUGAAAUAUAAUACAUGACAUCAUCAAUUGGAAAGUUGUGAUUAACAUGAAUAUGUUCCUUUCUUUAAAUAUAAUUCAUCAUCUUCCAAAUAUUAUUCACUUUAAUUAUGUUUUAUGUUUUAAAAAUCUAAAACAAUCAAGGAGGACUAAAAAGAAUCAUGUGAAAAUCUUGGAAAAUUUCACCAAAAAAAUUGACAAGUUAUCAAUGGAGAAUAUAUUGGCUCCACUUCUCACAUAAUAUUAGCUAUUUAAUGGUGUGUUUUUUGUUAUCUUUUUGUUAAAAGAACAUAGGGAUGACUACAAUGUGGCGAAUGUGCAACCAUGGAUUACAUAGAUUCUCGUGCCACAAAUUAUUUUUAUUCAUAGCCAUCAUUUAUUAUUUUAAAUCAUAUGAACUCUUUAAUUUUUUUUUCCUAUUAAUAAAUUCUAAUAAUUUUAUUUUUUCCUUAUUAAUCAUUUUCAAUUUAUUUAUAAAACUUAUAAAACAUUACUAAUAUUUUAAAUUUUUUUUAUUCAAAUUAGACUUUUUCCAGAUAUUGAGUGAAUCCUCAAAUAAAAUAAUUUAUUAAAUUCUCUUCUCAUCCUUAUGUUAUCUCCUUUUAACAAACUUAUAAGGUGCAAUUAGAAAGUGCAUGUGGACUUUACCUAGUUUUUCUUUUGAUUUAUUUAUUAAAAAAAAGGUGAUAUGAAAAAAUAAAAAAUAAAAAAAACUAUGGAAAUUAGCCCUUAAUUAAACUUAAACAUACCUGAUAACUGAAAAAUGGCAUGUGGAUAUCAGGAUUGCCUUGGGAACAUGUUUCUUGCGAUGUCGUUUCCAAAUUAGAGCCGAAGUAGUCGAAAUUCAUGAGCUCUAGUAGAUCCCUAAGUUCCAAAAGUCGUAAUUUAGGGAGCAGUUGCAAGUCGGUCCCAACAUGAUCAACUUCUUUUAUUUCAAACUCCCCUUCACAUUCGAUUAUUUGUUGCAUGGCAUUGCAAUCAUUUAUUGUCAUUUCUUCUAGUUGGGAAAGGCCUCUAGCUGUGGAAAGUAAGAAGGGAAAUUUCAAUCCAUGACAUUUCUCCACAUCUAAAAUUUUCAAGUUAUCCAACGACCUUAGGGGAAUUGGGCCACGACAUACUUCUUCCAAAUUACUCAACUUUAGUUCUUCAGUUUUCUUCAACAACUUUCCAAUUCCAUCCCUCAAAAGUAAGCUUCUAUCAACCUGUUCCAGCUUUAAUGUUUUUGAUGUUCUAUAAUUUCUUUCCCAUGAAUAAACUCUGCCAGCAAAUAUUGCAUAUCUUGUCAAGUUCUCAAAGAACAUGUCUUCUUUUGGUAGCAACUCGACAGCUGGCACUUCUAUCUCUAUAGUUGUCAAAUUGCGCAAAUGAUUCAGCUCCGAUAAACAAGCAUUGCUUUCUCCAUCACUAAUUCCUUCAGCUGCCCAUUGAGUAAAGCUAGAUUUCAUGCACAAACAUUCUAAUCGAGACAAGCUUAAUAAGAUAUUUCGUGGAAUUACUUCAAGCUGCUUACAAUCAUUCAAAUCCAACAACCUUAGAUUCGUCAACUGCCCCAUUUCACUAGGCAGUUGUUGGAUAUCGGAACCCACCAUGCUAAGAACUUGUAGUUUCUUUAGCUCUCCAAUUAGAGCUAUGUCUCCCAACUCACACCGGUCUAGACGUAAUGUUCGAAGAUUUGGAAGGGAAUGAAGCGUUGAAGGUAGUGUUGUGAAAUGCAUUUCAGACAAGUCUAAAACUUUGAGUAGGUUCAUCCCUUCAAAAAAUGUGUGUGGGAUUUUCAAGGAAGGACCGUUCUGCAAUAGUAAAAAUUGAAGUUUCGGACAUACCAACCUGUGAGGAAGCUCAUACACAUCUUUGCAAUUUAAAGAGAUGUAUUUGGAUCCAUCAGUCUCUGACCAUUCUUCACCGUCUUCUCUAACUACAAAUCGAUGAGGAUCCUUGGAUGCAAUAUUUCUGGCAACAUCACGAACAACAUCAUGCAUCCUGACAGACUUGUUAUCAGCAUCCAUGAAAAGCAACCUCGAGGCUCCUCCUCCAAAAGGGUUUAUAUGAUCUUCACCGUCAAGUAACAAGCUUGAGGCUUUGAGGGUUCUCACCAAUGUAACUAGUUUAUUUCUUGCUUGCUCCAAUGACUUGAUGUGGUCAAACAAAUCCAAACCCAUAGCAUACCUUAACAAGCGAUCCAUUGAAAUAUCACCAUAGCUCAACCAACCACAAAGUAAGAACAAUGACUUGACUUCAUCACCUUUCAAAUGCUUGUAGCUCCACUUCAGACAUCCGUAGACCUUGUCAUCCACUCCGCCGAUGUUUGUUGGCGCAGCACUCCUCAGUUCGUCCAAAGCAUUCUCCCAUACAGCCACACUUUCAUCUUUUAAUGCAUUUGCAAUUGUUACAAUUGCAAUUGGUAGACCCUCACAUUCGUUAACUACCUCAAUUGCUAUGGGUCGCAGUUUAUCCCCCUCCACAGAAUCACCUGCUGUCUUCUUAAAUAAAUGCCAAGCUUCCUCUUUUGGUAGAUGUUGAAGUGGAAAACACUCUUUUGCGCCCAUGUCUUUGCGUAAUAGGUCUUCAUUUCUAGAAGCCAACACUAUUUUGCAUCCUUUCUGGUCAUCUUUAGAAGGAAUUCCAACUUCCUCCAAACUAACUUCCUUCCAAAUGUCAUCUAAGAUGAUAAGGAUCUUUUCUUUCUGCAGUCUCUGCUUCAGUUCAACUGCUCUUGUGGAUUCGUCCUUCCCCUUAAAUUCCAAGCCUAACAUGUCUGCAAUUUUUUGUUGAAUUUUAGCAAUUCCAUCUUGAAGUUUUUCCGAAUCUCGAGUCCAGGAUACAUCUAUGUAGACUCGUGUGGUGAACAGCUUCUCAUCUUCAGCUAGUUGGGACGCUUGUUUGACCAGCGUGGUUUUGCCCACACCGCCCAUGCCCCAUACCCCAAUCUUGUUGAUCUCAUCAUCUCUUAAUGCAUCCAUAACUUUGUUCACAGUCGAGGCUCUUGACUCAAAAGGUUCAUAAUUUUUAAAGGUUACAUUCCGUAGAGGGACACGAUAUGAUACGCCAUCGGGGAAAUUGCGGUCUUCUUGGACUUCAACAAUAACCUGCGCCUUCUUGUCUGCUUCCCUGCUUAGCAGGUACCGUGACUUGAGAUUAGGACACCACCCAUGGAAACAACUCUUGUUUUCAUCUUUCUUCAAUUCCUCUGCCUCCCCUGUAACCUCAUCUACCCGAUUCAGCCACUCCUGAACAAUAGGUCUGAUUUCAUCCCCUCUUCUCCUAGCUUCAUCAACAGUUAUCAGCACGUCAUCCCUCGCCUUCCCCAGCUUCUGAGCUUUGUUGUGGAGUUCAUCGGUAUAGCUCCGAUAGCAAAACAGAUAACCAAGAUGGCGUCCAAUUGGAGCAACCAAGUACUCUGAAACUUUUGCAGCAACGGCAUUAAUGAUCUCUGUCAUUUCGUCUCAGUUGGAUUUGUAUUUUUUUUUUUUUUUUUUUGGUGUGUGUGUGGUUUUGUUGGGAAAACAGAAUGGAAAUAAUGAAAAAAACAGAAACAAAUCAAAGCAGGAGCAAGAGGAAACUAAAAUAAGAGAGCGGAAGAAAUGGAAGGAACAGUGUAUUUGUUACAAGCAGAGAGACGGUCACCAACAAAAUGAAAAGCAGAAUCAGUAGCGAAUAUGAGUGAAGGUAGAAAAAAUGACAAAGAAGUAGGGAGUGAAGAGAUGGAGAAAGCUCAAGGAGUGCAUGCAAUUUGAUUCAGUGUGACAAAACGAGAGCAAAGGAAGUUGGUAUUUUGCAAGCAGAUCCUGAUGUAAGGCCGAAUGUGAAGAGUAGAUUACCAAGCUAUGAAGACAGAGGGUGGUUUUUUGUUUUUUUUUUGGAAUUUGGUUUUGUUGGAAAACAGAUGGGAACUGAGAAAAUAAGAGGAAAUUAAGAAGGAAAUGAAAAUAAACAAGGAAAUGAAAGGAGCAGAGUUUGGGUUCCAAACAGAGAGACGGUGAAGGAAACAGAGGUGAACGAGAGCCAAGUUAGGAAUGGAUGAUAAAACGGGAAAGAGGUAGUGAGUCGAAGAGAUGGGGAAAGACAAGGAUUAAGCAACAGCAACAAAGAAGAGAGUGGUAUUGCAAUUAGGUAUGGAAAGGAGCACACUACUUUUUAACUUGGGGUGUUAUUAAUUUAAUUUUCCUUAGAAGAUUUCACUCCACAAAUCAUAAGUGUAAUUUUCUUUACAAAUAUUUCAUUACUAAUCAUUUAAAAACCUUUUUACAACUUUAGAAGAGAUGGUUGCAAUUUUUAAUUUUCCAUUAAAGAAUAUGUAAGCAUUGUAGCUUUAUGUUCUCAAAUCUGCUUGCAUGAAAAAAAAAUCAAAUUUUCCAUAUACUAAAUUUAUAACUAUAUCUACACAGUGAUGUAAAUAUUUGAGGACAUAGUGGAUUUAAAAAAAAAAACGUUUUUAAUUGUAACAUUAAAUAAUAAAUAUUUUUAAGUAUUACAAAACUAACGUUUUUGUAAAUUUUUUUUUACUAUUAACGCUUUUAAAGAGAAUCAGCCUAAUGAAAUGUAAAUUAAAGCAAAAUGGAAAUUGAAUGAGCCUGUCAUGUCAUGCUUGCAUUUUCAAACCAAGACAAAAAUCUGCAGCCGCCCACGGCCUUCAAUUAUUAUUAUUAUUACGAUGGGACCAUGUACAGAUGUACAGAAAAAGGCUUCCAUUAUUGACGUGAAUCGGUGAAAACAGCUGUAGCAAUGAACAAAGUAGAAAAAGAUGCAGACAUAUGAAUCAUGAUGUGACUUGUGAGCUGUGAAUGACUACAAUACUUAUUUGAAUGAUAUGGGACCCACAGCCAAUUCAAUAUUCUGGGACGGCUUUGGUUGGAUUUUUUACGAGGGCACCAUCAUUUUAAAAAAUAUUUUUUAGUAGAAAAAUUAAUUUUAAAUUUAUAAAUAAGUAGAAAAGAAAAAAUUAAAAAUGGUUAUUUUUUUUAAAUCUUUUUUGCAAAGGAUGAUUUUUUUAAAAAAAAUUAUAACAAAAAAAUAGUCUGGAAAUGAGUUUUUUAAUUUCUUUUAAAAAGAAUUAUAAACUAAUAUAGUCUAUGGAGAGAUGAUUUUGGAAAAAAAGAAAUUUAAGGGACACAAAUAUCAAAGACAAAUACCUUGACUCUUGAUUCAUUUAGAGACAAUUGUGUUUUGGAUAUAGUUGAGUUCAAAAAUUAAUUUUUAAUUCAUAUAAGUUUUAGAGAAAGUGUAAAAAUUAAGAAGAAUAAUAUGAAUGUUUUAUCUUUCCAAAAAAUGAUCUUUAUUGACUAUAAAAAAAAAAAGUAGAAAAACAUUAAUUUAAAUUUUAUUUUUUUUUGUAAACCUCAAUAAAAUUUAAUUUAAUUUAGUGAUUUGAAAAAAAAUACACACUUUUUCCAAAAAAAUAAAAAUAAAUUAUUAUUAUUAUUAUUUACAAAUAAAACAUCUUGGAAAAUAUAUAUAUUUUUAAAAUUGUAUAUGUAAAAAAUAACUAAAAAUAUGUCAAAAUUAUUUUGUUAAAUGAUAUAUUUAAAAAAAAUUAAUUUUCUAAAAUUAAUAAAUUUUUAGAAUAAUUAUUAAAAAAAUUUAAGAUCAAAUUUUUUUCAAAUAUUAUGGUAAAAAAUACUCAAAAUAGUUUUAAAGGGUAUAUUGAUAUCUUUACAUUUUAUAUCAUUUUCAUUAAUUAUGUGAUUUUUAUGGACUAAAUUUUAAUUUUUGGAUUACCUAGUUCCAAAACGCAAUUUUCCCAUUCCUUUUACAUGAACUAUUAUUGUGUGUAAAGGGCUCCCAUCACUAGACUCAAUCAAUGAAAGCCACCGUAGCAAUGGAUAAAAUAUAGAAAAAGACAAACACAUAUGAAAUCACGAUCAGUGACUUUAAAUUCCAUCGUGUGCCAUUCAUCGGCUGCAUGUGAAUAUAUUGUAACUCAUUCAAGUUUCAGUGACUUUUACAAAAACAAUUAUUAUUAUUAUUAUUGUUGUAAAUGAAGAGUGGUGAAUGACCACAUUGAUGGUCAUUAUGAACUCCAUUUACUCAUCUUUAAGAUAAGUAAUGGGAGUUCAUAUUAUGAAGCCUAUAAAAGGCUUCUUACACCCCAUGUAAGAGCAUCCCGAGAAAAAGAAAGAAAAGUUCUUUCUCUCAUUCUCUCUCUCUCUCUCUUUCCUUUAUUUUCUCAACUCUCUUCUUUGAUUUCUUCUUCCCUAUUAUACAUCAAAGUAAGAUAUACUUCAUCUCUAUUACUUUAAUUUGCAUUGUAUUUAUCCUUAUUUUAUAACACAUUAUCAGCACGAAUUGCUCUGAAAGUAAUUCUCAUAUCUUAAACUUGAAGUUAUUUAUAUAGAAUAAAAUUUUACAUAUUUAUAUUAUUGAUGAUUUGUUUUGUUACAUAUUGUUAAAAGUUAUAAACAGAUUAUUUGAUUUUGUUUAUAAUCAAAGUUAUACUAAUGUUAUCAAGUUAUUAUAAUUGAUUCUAAUAAUAUUGUUUUGUCAUAUAUAUGAAGUCAUUUGACAAUGUCAAAUCUCACAAAAUUCGAAUUUGUGGCACUUGACAUUUCGAAAAAGAACUAUCUAUCUUGGAUCCUUGAUGCUAAAAUACAUUUUGAUGCAGUGAAUCUUGGAGUUAUGAUCAAAGAAGGAAAUCAAGCAUCCCUGCAGGAUUGCGCAAAAACAAUAAUUUUCCUUUGUCAUCAUCUCCAUGAAGAUUUAACAAAAAAUGAGUUUUUGAUGAGAAAUCACCAAUCUCGUCCAACUAGAUUUGAAUCAUUCCCUGAAAUGAAUGCAAUAUCGUUCCAAAAUCAUGGACGUAGACGAGGACGAGGACAUGGUUGUGGUCAUGGAAGAAAUCCCCGAUACCAUGGUUCUUAUAAUAAUAAUUCUCAUAAAAUGAAAGUUUCAUUGCACCACUAGAAGUGGAACAAUAUUGAUGCAAAACAAGAAAAUGAUAAUUGUUUACAAGAUAAACCUCCUAAGAACCAUGAAAAUAAUUGUUAUAGAUGUGGUAUGAAGGGGUAUUGGUCGCGUACCUGUCGUACGCCCAAACAUUUGGUCGACCUUUACCAAGCAUCAAUAAAAGCAAAAGGAAAAGAGAUAGAGAUGAACUUUACCGAUGGUGAUGGAUUGAACCUAACCUACUAUGACAUUGAUUUCUUUGGAAGUCCCAAUGAAAAAAAUAAACCAUUUGAUAAAUGAUGAGAAAAUUAACAUUGAUUGAUGUUACUUUGUAUAUGAAAUAAUAUAUUAUUAUGUCUUAUAUUUACAUUUGAUUUUCUUUUGUUAUUUACAUUAUGCCUUGUUUAUAUGAAAUCCAUGUGUUGUUUAGUCUCAAGAUGAAUGAGGAUGAUGUAUGUCUCACAGACUGUGUGACCACGCACAUAAUUCUUCGAGAUAAAAGAUAUUUUCUCGAAUUGACAUUAAUAAAAGCUAAUGUAAGUACCAUAUCCAGUACUACAAACUUAGUUGAAGGCUUUGGAAGAGCAAACAUAAUGUUGCCAAAUGGAACUAGAUUCCAUAUAAAUGACGCUUUAUAUUCUAGCAAAUCCAGAAGAAAUUUGCUUAGUUUUAAAGAUAUCUGCAGAAAUGGAUAUCAUAUUGAAACUAUGAAUGAAGAUAAUGUAGAAUAUCUUUACAUUACUUCCAUUAUAUAUGGCCAGAAGCUUAUAAUGGAAAAACUCCCGGCUUUCUCUUCUGGAUUGUAUCAUACAACUAUAAAGCCUAUUAAAUCAUGUGUUAUCGUGAACCAGAAGUUCAAUGACCCAAAAGUUUUUGUCCUUUGGCAUGACAGGCUUGGUCACCUAGGGUCUUCAAUGAUGCGUCGAAUAAUUGAACACUCACAUGGGCAUCCACUAAACAACCAGAAGAUUCUUUCGCCUAAUGAAUACUCAUGUGCUGCCUGCUCACAAGCCGAUGUUUUUAUAGCCCGCUUUGCGGAUUGUCAUUUUAAUGAGAGUGUUUUCCCGCCAUUAGGGGGAGAAAAAUAGAUUCCUGAAGAACGACGAGAAAUUAGUUGGAAGACAUCUACUCUGACUUAUCUUGAUCCUCGUACAAAUCAAUAUGAACUAGAAGUUUAAAGGAUCAUUCAUUUGCAAAAUCUUGCAAAUCAAUUACCAGAUGCAUUCAUUGAUACAAAGAAAGUAACAAAGUCGCAUAUCUCGGCUGCAAAUACUCCAGUACGGAUUGAUGUCCCUAUAGGAUAGUUAACAAAUGAAUCUAAGAUACGCUUGAAGCAUGGUAGAUUUGUCAGCUCAAAGGAUGUAACUCCUCGGAAGAGGAGAACCCAAGAAAAAAUUGGCACUCUAUAAGAGGCUAUCAAAAUGACUGAUCAGAUUAAAAUUGAUAAAUCUAUAGCCCCAAAAGAGGCACAAAUAAUGUAGAAAGCUCCUGAAGAGGCACAUAUUGAAUGAGAAGCCCCUGAAGAGGCAUAGGUACCUGAAAAUUGUGAGAUCUCAGUAAGUUAUAUAUACACGGGAGAAAAAUGAGAUCGAAAUAAUAUUGUUAUUAACAAUUUUUUUGCUUUCCAAGUGGCCUCUAAUAUCAUAAGAAAUGAUGAAGAUCCUGAACCACGAAAUAUGGAAGAAUGUAGACAUAGAAAUGAUUGGCCAAAAUGGAAAAAAGCUAUACAAGCAGAGUUAAACUCUAACAAAACGGGAAGUUUUUGGACCUGUUGUCCAAACACCUGAAGAUGUAAAGCUUGUUGGGUACAAAUGGGUAUUUGUACGAAAGUGCAAUGAGAAAAAUGAGAUCAUAAGAUAUAAAGUGCAAUUAGUAGCACAAGGUUUCUCACAGAGACCUGGUAUUGACUACGAAGAAACAUAUUCUCCCGUCAUGGACGCAAUCACAUUUCAUUUCUUAAUUAGUUUGACAGUCUCAGAAUGACUGGAUAUGCGUCUCAUGGAUGUUAUUACAACAUAUUUAUACGGAUCCAUGGAUAAUGAUAUAUACAUGAAAAUCCUUGAAGGAUUUAAAUUGCCUGGAGAAAAUAGUAUAAAGCCUUAUAGAAUGUACUCAAUCAAGUUACAACGAUCCUUGUAUGGAUUAAAGCAAUCUGGACGCAUGUGGUACAAUCACCUUAGCGAAUACUUGCUAAAAGAAGGGUAUGUGAAUAACCCUAUAUGCCUAUGCAUCUUCAUUAAGAAAUCAGAAACCAGAUUUGCAAUUAUUGCAGUGUAUGUUGAUGACUUAAAUCUUGUUGGAACUCCUAAAGAGCUCACAAAAACAAAAAAUUACUUGAAAAAGGAAUUUGAGAUGAAAGAUCUUGGAAAAACAAAAUUUUGUCUCGGCCCGCAGAUCGAGCAUUUUCCAAAUGGAGUUUUAGUACAUCAAUCAACAUAUAUUAAGAAAGUUUUGAAGCGUUUUUAUAUGGAUAAAGCGCAUCCUUUAAGUUCUCCAAUGGUUGUCCGAUCACUUGAUGUGAAAAAGGACCCAUUUCGUCAUUGCGAAAAAAAUGAAGAGUUACUUGGUUCUGAAGUACCAUAUCUUGGUGCUAUUGGUGCACUUAUGUAUCUUGCCAAUUGUGCACGCCCCGACAUUGCUUUUUCUGUCAAUUUAUUAGCAAGAUAUAGUUCCGCUCCAACUCGAAGACAUUGAAAUGGUAUCAAACAUAUAUUGGGUUAUCUUUGCGGGACUACUGAUAUGAGUUUAUUUUACUCAAGGGAAUCAAAACAACAAUUGCUUGGAUAUGCAGAUAUAGGAUAUCUUUCAGAUCCACAUAAAGGUAGGUCACAAACAGGGUAUGUGUUUAAUUGCAAUGGUACUGCUAUUUCAUGGAGAUCUGUCAAACAAACAAUGAUGGUCACAUCAUCAAAUCAUUCAGAAAUACUGGCAAUUCAUGAAGCAAGUCAUGAAUGUAUAUGGCUAAGGUCUAUGAUUCAGCAUAUUCGGGAAUCAUAUGGACUCUCUUCUAUCAAAGAUGACCCGACAAUAUUAUUUGAAGAUAAUGCUGCAUGCAUUGCACAAAUAACAGGGGGUUAUAUUAAAAGAGAUAGAACUAAACACAUUUCACCAAAAUUCUUUUAUACACAUGAACUCCAAAAGAGUGGUGAAAUUGAUGUGCAACAAAUACACUCAAGUGAUAAUCUAGCAGAUUUAUUCACAAAAUCAUUGCCAACCUCAACAUUCAAGAAGUUAAUACACAAGAUUGGAAUGCGUCAACUCAAGGAUAUUGACAUGAGGGGGAGUAAGCUUGUAAAAGGGUGUUAGUGUACUGUACUCUUUUUUCCUUCGUCCAGGUUUUGUCCUACUGGGUUUUAUUGGCAAGAUUUUUAGCGAGGCAAUCCUAAUAUACCAAGAAAAGAAUAUUGUACUCUUUUUCCUUCGCUAGGUUUUUCCUAUAUGGUUUUUUACUAGCAAGGUUUUAAUGAGGCAUAUUCUUUUAAUAUAGUGGUCAUCCAAGGGGGAGUGUUGUAAAUGAAGAGUGGUGAAUGACCACAUUGAUGGUCAUUAUGAACUCCAUUUACUCAUGAGUAAUGGGAGUUCAUAUUAUGAAGCCUAUGAAAGGCUUCUUACACCCCAUGUAAGAGCAUCCCGAGAAAAAGAAAGAAAAGUUUUUUCUCUCAUUCUCUCUCUCUCUCUUUCUUUCAUUUUCUCAACUCUCUUCUCUGAUUUCUUCUUCCCUAUUAUACAUCAAAGUAAGAUAUACUUCAUCUCUAUUACUUUGAUUUGCAUUGUAUUUAUCAUUAUUUUAUAACAAUUAUUAUUUUAUAUUGUUUCAUCAAGUUUAUUAGUAUUAUUAUGUUGAUAUUCGGUUGGUGGUUAGGAUUGGAUAGGUUAUAAAUAUUUUAAAAUAUUAAUAAUAAUAACCUAAAAUAUUACAUCAUAUAACUUAUAUCAUAUUGGAUAUGUAAUAAGUCGUAAGUUAAAGAAAUAAAAAUUAGAUUGAACAACAUCUCAUAUUAAUUUUAAUUUUUCUUUUAAAAUAAGAAUAAGUGAUAUUAAAACUCUAUGAAAACUCUCUUAAUUUAUUUCUCUUUUUUAAAAGUUUUGAUGUCAAAAAUUUUAAAAUUAUUUCCUAAUUACUUUUUAAAUUUGAUAACAAAAAGUUAAGAAUAAAGGUAUAAAAUUUGUUUGAUACCUAAUUUAAUAAAAAGUAAAUGGAUAAUUUAACGCUCAACUCGCCUUUUUCUUAUCAAACCAACAAUGUGGGUGACAUCAAAUAUUUCAUAAAAAAAUAAUAAUUAUUAUUUUUUAAAUAACAAAACAAAUUAUAACCACCAAAUAUAUUUAAUAUUUAUAAAAACUAAAAGAAUAAAUAAAAUUAUUUAUUUAUUUUUUAAAUAUUAUAAAAAUAUUUCUUAUCUAUUAAUUCUAUUUAAUCAUAUUGCUUUAUGAUUAAUGAUUUGCGUGUAUUUAGGCAUUUUUAACAAAAACAAAUGUUUUUCAGCCUUGGAUUCCUGGCAUGGAGCAUGGAUUAUUAUAAUUAUUGUGAAAAGUAGUGGAAGCCAUACUGCCUGUAUAUAAAAACAGAUGCAAGUGGAAAACAGGUCUCCAUGACUUAUAAUAUGAGGAUGGGGCUGCCUUUUCCAUGAAUCAAAUCUCAAUAACCGAUUCCAUUGUCUGCCAUUAUUCACCUGCAUCUCACUCUCACAACUCAAAUCUAGACUCAGGUUCACACGCCUUAAUAUCUUGCCACAAAACCCUACAUAAUACUAAUAUAUACUAGUAAUUAGAAUUUACAGUGACCGUGUAAAAUAAGUUUGUAGAGAGACAAGCCAUGUGCAUUGCACUAAUAGAAAAUGACUGAAAAUUAAUAUAAUUCAGAGAGCGAGAAGGCCCAUGUGAAUUGCAUCAAUAGAAAAAUAGUUGAAAAUAAAUAUAAUUCAGUCUCCGGAGCGAAGCCCCAUGCGAAUUGCAUUAAUCGAGAAUAUAAUUCCAAGGCCGCCCCAUGUGCAUUGCAUUCAUAGAAAAAGAGAGUGCAAGACCUGGUCUGCUUUGCAUUAAUACAAAAAUGACCCAAAAUUAAUAUAAUGCCUAAGUGCCCUAAUCUCUAUUCUUUAUUAAUAUUAGUUAUUAGAUUUUACUUCAAAGUAUGUAAAACAAGUUUGUCCAAUUAAACCGUAAGGUUACACUUCAUUGACAUGAUUGGAUAAGAUAGAAUAUAUAUAUAUAUAUAUAUAUAUAUAUAUAUAUAUAUCAUAGGAUAUGUAUAUUUUAUGAUAUGAUUUUCAAUAGGUUAUGUAUCUCAUUGGAUAUACAUAUCAUAUGAACAUGAUAUUUUAAUAUAGCAUAUCAAAUAAGAUAUGUUAUAUUAUAUUUAUAUUUUAUUUAUAAAAUAAAUAAAAAAUAAUAUGAAAUAUAUAUCAUUUUCAAUAUUUAAAAUAAUAAUUAUAUCACAUUCAAAUAUUUAAAUAAUGGAAAAUUUAUUAUGUUUAACAAUAUUCAUGAUUAAAAUAUUUAAACUUAAAAAAUAAUUUUUUUAUAUAAUGUUAUUUAAUAUAUAAAAAUAAUUUAUAUAUCAUAUAUUAAUAUUAUUUUAUAAAUAUUUUUUGUUAGUUUUUCUUUUUAAUAAAAAAUUUAAUUUAUAAUAAAAAAAAUUUUGUAAUAUGAGUAUAUUAAAAAAUAAAAAAUUGAUAAAAAUAAAAAAUUGAUAAAAAUAAAUAAAUUUUUUAUAUAUGGGAUAUUUAUAUCUCAUAUCUUACCAUGAGAUUAAUAUAUCCCAUGUGAAAAUGAUGAAAAAAAAAGAAGGUGGAUAAUAUAUCUCAUUACUUAUCUUAUCUCAUAUUUGGUUGAAUAUAAGAUAGAAUAAGUAAUGAGAUAACUUAUCUUAUUCCAUCACCAAUCAAACAUAAGAUAGGAUAUAAUAUCCCCUUUCCUAUCCUAUCUCAUGCUAUAUUUGGUUAACCGUCUAAGUUCACUAAGUUUCUACUAUUCAUUAUUAUUAAUUUUUUUUUUUUUGCAUAUAAUUAAAUUUUCCUUACAUAAAAACACUAUUACAGAUUUGUUCUCCAAAAAGAUCCAUAUUUUGGGGAAAUAUGUAAACUAUCUUAUUUGCAUAGAGGGAGCUAUAAAGAAGAACACCAAAUUGUCACACAUGAUGGCUCAUUGGAGAUGAUAUUAAAUCAAUCACAUGCAAAAAUUUAUUUCUAUAAACCAAAAAUGAGUUGCAUCAUUAACUUAAUUUUCCUUCACCAUUCCACUCCAUAGACCAUAAACCAAGAAUAAGUUGUAUCAUUAAUUUAAUUUGCCUUCAAAAUUCCACUCUAUAAACUAUAAACCAAAAAUGAGUUGUAUCAUUAAUUUAAUUUUUUUUCUUCUAAAGAUUCCAUUAUUGAUCAUUUAAGAACUUUUUACAAUUUUAAAUGAGAUAAUUGCAAUCUUUAUUUUUUUAUUAAAAAAUAUUAAACAAUAUGUAAGUAUGUAUCUUCAUAUUUUCAAACUUUCAUUUAAGAAAUUUAUGACUCAAAUUUCUAAAAUUAAGAGUGCUUCCCAAUUACAAUUCUCCAUCCCUCAACCUAGAACUUCAUCCACCCGAUGGAUGUAAUUUCAAAAUAGAAUUAAUUUGAAAGUGGUUUUUGUUAAUUUAUAACACUUUUUGUUAGUGAUAAAGGGAAUCACUCUAAUAAUAUAUAUUUUUUGGAUUAACAAAUGAAUUCAUAAAUGAAAUAUAAAAUUUAUUUUUAUAACCAAAAUUUUAUUCCCUUACCCUGCUUUGCACAUUUUCUUUGGUUUUUUUCAUUGAUUUUAGUGGGCUUUACGCUAAGUUGCAGGUGUGGGUGUAGAGGAAAUGGAGGUGGUGUAAGUGGGUUGUAACACCCCAAAAUAAACUUUAGGGACAAAAUAGUAAAUUAUAAAUUAAUUAAUUAAUUAAACUCAUUAAAGGUAAAAAAUUCAUUUUACAAUUAAUAAUCCUAAAUAUAAAUUAGAUUGGGACAAUUAUGUUUUGGGCCUAGUUGGGCCAAAAAAUUAAGUUUUGGUCCAUAUAAGUUCACCAUUCAAGCCCAAGACCUAGAAAAAGUGUGAAAAUUGAGAAAAAUAUAUGAAUUUUUUAUUUUUCCAGAAAUAACCUUUGCUCUAUGGAAAAAAAAUAGAAAAACAUUAAUUUAAAUUUUAUUCCUUUUGUAAACCUCAAUAAAAUAUAAUAUAAUUUAGUGAUUUGAAAAAAAAUACACCAUUUUCCAAAAAAAUAAAAAUAAUUUAUUAUUAUUAUUAUUUAAAAAUCAAACAUCUUGGAAAAUAUAUAUUUUUAAAAUUGUGUAUAUAAAAAAUAACUAAAAAUGUAUCAAAUUUAUUUUUAAAAAAUGAUAUAUUUUUAGAAUAUAUUUUUAAAAAAAUUAGUUUUCUAAAAAUAAUAAUUUUUCAGAAUAAUUAUUUAAAAAAAUUAAGAUAAAAAAGUUUGUCAAAUAUUAUGGUAGAAAAUAGUUUUGAAGGGUAUAUUGGUUUUUUCAAACUCUAUAUCCUUCUCAUCAAUUAUUCAACUUAUAUGGACCAAAACUUAAUUUUUGGGCCCAACUGGGUAAAAAAAAACAUUGUCCCAAUUCGAUUUUCCUUGUCUUCUUUAUUUAGAAAACUCUAUUGAUAAAAAAUCAGAGAAUUGGAGAACGUAUGGUUAAAGGUUUGAAGGUGUAGAGUUUAAAGUUAAUAUUUUUUGAGGUAAGAUUUUAACCCUAGAUUAAUAUAUUUCUUUAGUUAGUUUUGAACACAUUAAAUAUUCUUUAGAAAAUUUUAAUUUAGAUUAGGUUUAGUUUAUUUAAUUUAUUUUAAAAUCAAAAUAUUGAAAUUAUGAAUAUAGGUUAUUUCAUUAAUGAAAAUAGGGAAAUUUGAAAUUUUUUUUAGAUGAAUAAAUCUAAACAAUGAAAUUUUAAAAAUUAAAUGAGUAAAUAAAUAUAUAAUUAUAUGUGGCUUAAAGGAUUAGAAAAUAAUAAGCAGAAGAAUUGCAUGUUUUUGAGGCAUUGUGUUGGGGAGACCAAAAACUUUAAAAAAAAAAAAAAAAAUCAAUAUGUAACCAUGAGAGGUAAAGUGUGGUAGUGGAAUAAAUUAAAAUAAUAAUAAUGAGUAGAGUUGGUGGGGUUGUUAAAGUUGUUAAAAGUACAUGGGGUAUUUUGUUAAGUAAGAAAGGACAUUGGGAUUAAUAAAAAUAAUGAUAAUGAUAAUAAUAAUAAUAAUAAUAAUAAUAAUAAUAAUAAUAAUAAUAAUAGUAAGAAUUGUAUGAUUUGGAUGUUUGUGAGUGACGUACAAUAAGGUUGUUCGGUAUUGAAAAAUAUAGUAAUAAUAAUAGUAAUUGUUUUUAAUAAAAGUUUUAAUUUAGUUUAAGUAUACAAAAGAAAUAAAUUGUUAGGAUAAGAUUUGGAAGAAAUAUGAGUUUAUAAAAAAUUUAGAAAUUAAUUAAAUUAUAUUAUUAUUGUUUAAGAAGUUGAAAAAUAAUAUUGGGUGGUAAUAAUAUUAGCAUGUGAAAUUAAUUAGGAUCCUUAAUAUUAAAUAAAAUAUUUUUAGGAUUGUCAAAUUUUUAUCUUUAAAUAAUUGUAUAUAAUAUUAUGUUAGGCGAUGAAUAAAUUCGUCAAGUUAAAUACUUCGAGUUUUUUUUUUUUUUUUUGGUUUUAAAGUAAAGUUAAGAAGAAAGUGAAGUUUGGCAAAAAAAAAAAUGAAAGAGAUGGAUUUGAGUUAGGACAAUUUUUCUUUAGAUGAUAAAAGUGAUAUAAAUCAUCUCAUAAGGAUACAAAACUUUAUAAAUUGAUAUGAAGCAUUAUUAAAUAGAUUCAUCUCAUAUCUCUAUAUAUAGUUGAAUCCUUUUUUUUUUUUUAAUAAAUAAAAUUUUUAUAUAAAAAGAUCAAAUUGCUCUUCAGCUUCUAAAUUCCACCUCUCCUAAACUCUAAUUUCAUUCUUCUCCUAUUUCAUCUUCAUCCUUAAAUCCUUUUUUUUCUUAUACUAAAAUAAAAUUUUUAAAAAUGGAAAAUCGCUAAGGGUGGCAUAGCUAAGCCUAUGAUCACAAUUGCAACUGUGACUAUAGCACUACGUCAUCCCAAAUUGUUUUUUUUUUUUCAAUAUUAAGAAAAUUUGAUGACGAUGAUGAAAAAGGGGGGUGGCCUUUUUUUUCUUAUACUAAAAUAAAAUUUUUAAAAAUGGAAAAUCGCUAAGGGUGGCAUAGCUAAGCCUAUGAUCACAAUUGCAACUGUGACUAUAGCACUACGUCAUCCCAAAUUGUUUUUUUUUUUUUUCAAUAUUAAGAAAAUUUGAUGACGAUGAUGAAAAAGGGGGGUGGGGGGGGGGGGGGGGGGGGCGGCGGGAGAAAAUGGAAAAGAAAAAGGUGUUAGGGUUUUGGAGAAGUGGGUGAGUUGAGGAUGAAGAGGAUAUUUUGGGUAUUUCAUAUAUAUAUAUAUAUAUGAAAGAAAGUCUAACUUUAAUAUUAUAAAAAAAAGGCAAAUUAUCUAAAUUUAUACAACUUUAAUUAAGGAGAGUCUAACUUUUCCACUUUCAUCUUUGGUAAACCUAAAUUAAAAUUAUUUUAUAGAAGAAAAUAUCUUUCAUGGACUCUCAUCUUAUCCCCCUUCCACUUUAAUCCAUCUUUAUAUAGUUUUAUUCAUCAUUAUUUAUCUUCAUUUUUGAAAAGCGAAUUGAUAGAGCACAAUGUUUAAGUGGCUUCACAAUGGUUUGGCCACUAUGGUUUGUCUUUUUUAAAUCCUUUGUAGUUUUUGUUUUAAAGUAGAGCUAAGAAGAAAGUGAAGGUUGGAAAAAAAGGAAAAAGAUAGACCAUUAUGCCUAAGUGUCCCCCAUAAUGGUUUUUUCAUUUUUUAUUUUUUAUUUUUUAUUUUUUUAUUUUUAUGAAGUAAAGCUAAAAAGAAAAUGAAGUUUGACAAAAAGAGAAAAACAUGGAUUUGAGUUGGGACAAAUUUUCUUUAGGUGAUAAAAGUGAUAUAAAUCAUCUCAUAAGAAUAAAGGAUACAUAACUUUAUAAAUUGAUAUGGAGCAUUAUGAAACAUAUUCAUCUCAUCUCAUCAUUUUUUUUCCAUAAAUAAAAUUUAUAUAUGAAAUGAUCAAAUUUCUCUUCAACUAUCUAAACUAUAAUCUCAUUCUUCUCUUCUUUCAUCUUCAUCCUCAAUUUUUUUUCCUUAUAGUAAAAUAUAUAUAUAUUUUAAAGAAAGAAAAAUCAGUUAGGGUGGCACAACCAAUCCUAUUAUAGGUGACCGACAAUAAAGCCUAACCGUGUAGCUGUGAUCACAAUUGCAAUUGUGACUAUAAAAUUGCAUCAUCCCAAAUUGAUUUUCGAUUCUUGUUAAGAACCUUGUCAGUAAAACCCAAUGAGACAAAACUUGAAUAAAGAAAAAAAAAGUGCAAUUUAUCGAUAUCAAUAUUCUCCCCCUCGUGUUGACUUAAUUGUGCCCUUUCCAAUACUUCAACGAGUAGAUAUUUCAAUCUCUAUAUUCCAAUAUUGUAACUAAACUUUUUCAAUAUAGUUAUAAUGUUUUUAUGAAUAGAUCUAUUAGAUUAUCACAUGAUUGGAUCUGUCAAUACAUUAAUUUCACCAUUUUCUUGGAGUCAUAAGUAUAGAAGAUUUUGUUGAUAUAUACUUAGUUUUGUCACCUUUUAUAAAUCUUCCUUUAAUUUGUGCAAUAUCAGAAACAUUAUCUUCAUAUAUCUCAGUAGCAUUAUCUUUGAUGGAAGGUAGUCUACAUGAUUCCCAAAUAUGUUGGAUCAUUGACCUUAGUCAUACAUAUGCACAACUUGCUUCAUGAAUUACAAGUAUAUCUUAAUGAUUUAGAGAGGUGGUUGCCAUUAUUUAAUUCACUAACCUCUAUGAUAUAGUCGUAAUAUUGUAGGUAAAUACAUACCCUUAUUUGAAAUCAAGCUCUACAAACUCAAUUAUGCUUUCUUCAACAUUUCAAUGGUAUAUCUCUCAAUCUCUACAUUCCAAUGUUGUAUCUUAACUUUUUUAAUGUAGUUGAUUGUAAUAAUUUUAUGAAUAGAUCUAUUAAAUUAUCAUAUAAUUGAAUAUUUUGAACAUCAAUUUCACCAUUUUCUUGAAGCCCGUGAGUAUAGAAGAAUUUGCGAGAGAUAUGCUUAUUUUGUUCACCUUUUAUAAAUAUUCCUUUGACUUUUGCAAUAUAAGGAACACUAUCUUUGAUAGAGGGUAGUCCACAUGAUUCCUAAAUAUGUUGGAUCGUUGACCUUAACCAUACACAUUCAUGACUUGUUUCAUAAAUUACAAGCAUCUCUCAAUGAUUUAGAGAGGUGGCUAUCAUUGUUUGUUUGACUAAUCUCCAUGAUAUUGUUGUAUUAACAUAGAUAAAUACAUAUGCUAUUUGAGAUCAAGUUUUGUAGAGGUUUGAAAGAUAGCCAACUUCCACAUAUCCAAGCAAUUGAGAUUCUACUCAUUUCAAAUAAAAUAAACAUAUGUCAAUUGUUCCAUGAAGAUAUUGUAGUACAUGUUUGACUUUAUUCUUGCAAGCAAAAUGACAAAGAAUGUUAUAUCUGAUCAUGUAUUGUUUCAAGAUACAUUAGUGUAGCAAUUGCAAGGUACUUUUGGACGAAAUAGUUAUCUAUUAUCUUCUUUAGGAUGAACGAGGUCCUUUUUCACUUCAAGUGAACAAAUUACAUUGAAGAACUUAAUGGAUACAAUUUAACCUUAUGAAAGUUCUUUAGAAUUUUUAUUUAUUUAUUAUAUGCUGAUUGAUGGACUAAACAUUCCAUUUUAAAAAUGCUUGAUUUCCAAGUUGAAACAAAAUUUUCUUUUUCCAAGAUCUUUUGUUUGAAAUUCUUUCAUUAUACAUUUAAUCAUUCUAAUAUACCCUUUAAGAGUCAAUAAGAUUGCAACAAUGACAAACCUCCACUUUAAUCCACAUAAAGACAUAAUUUGAUCAAGUAUAUUGUCAUCAUGACUUGAUUAAGAAUGUGAUAUGAGAUUUUCAAUCAUUGUUUCAAUCAUUUUAAUCCUUCAGAUUUUUUUUUAAGCAUGUUAAUUCUUAAGGGAGAUAUUUGCUUUAUUCUUUUAAAUCUUUCAAGGAUUUGGUUGCUUCAUGCAUUUAGGAUCCUUUAGGAUUUUAACAUAUCCAUGAAUCCAUAUACAUUAUAAAGUAUAUAUCAAAUCUUUGAGGUAAUGGGAAAAACCUAAAUCUCUCUGUUUUCCAAUCCCGGAUCAGGUUAAGAACAUGUAUAACAUCCUAGGAUUUUCUAAAUCCUAUGCACAAUGAAAAAAAAAACAUUUUUAAACUUAUAAAGGGAUUUAGAAAGUGCUAAUAAAAACCAUACCUCAAAUUUGGAUGUUCCCGAAUCAAAUCCAUGUGGUGAAGAUGAAUAAAGAAAUCGCAAAAGUCUCGUAAACCUGAAGUCUUCCGUUUGAUGACUCGAACCUUGAUCUUGACACACUUCCAGUGGGAAUGAAAUGGAGGGUGGAGGCUAUGACUCUCUCUCUCUCUCUCUCUCUCUCUCUCUCUUUCUCUCUCUCUUUGGAGAUGGAAAAUGACUAUUUAAAAAAAGUUGUGGGAACCCUAACCACUAAGAGGGUAUUUAUAGGGCCCCUUAUUGUGUUUAAGUGACUUGAUCCCAUUACAGGCUCGGGUCACUUAAUGUAGCCUAAAAUGGGUCCUAAUAGAUUAAUCCUUAAGAUCACCCAAGGGAACACAUUAUUUCAAUCCCAAGAAAUAUUACGGUGCCUCUAUUGAGAAUACUUAUUGCUACUGACUUACAUUAAUAGUAACUCGAUCCAUAGAGAAUAUAUGAUCAACUUACGAUCUCACUCAUAGGUCAAAGCCUAUUAACUUCAACAUAAGCUUAAUAUUCUCUCUAGGUUGAGAGACAACAUAAUGAAACAAUUUGGUGAAUUCAUGACUAUUUAAUAGUCUUAACUCAUAACUUAUCAUAGGUUAUGUCAAAUGUGCAACCAUACACACCAGUGCACUCACCAUGGGAAACUCAUCCUAAUAGCCAAAACUAGUCAUCCCUCCAAUUAGGAAGUGACGCACUACAACCUCUAAUUGGUUGCUUAAACCCAUGAAUUGACUGUGAAUAAGUGAUCUAUUUGCUAGGAACCCAUGACUUGGAUCUUCUGUGCAACUCCUAAUGCACCCAAGUCAUGUACAAUGCAAAAAAUGUUGAUCAAAGUAUUUACAAGAUAUAAUGCAUGAAAAUAGGAUAAAUAAAAGUGAACUAAAACUUUAUUAAAUAAAUAAUAAAAACCAAGAGUUUAUUAUAUCAUAUUAUGUUUUUAAGGGCUCUAUCCUAACAUAAGGGAUUGUCAAUCAUGUGACUGAAUCAUUACAAGGAUGAUGCUAGGUCUUUGCAGGAAACCUUAUGUUAUAAUUUUUGCUUUAUAACAUAAUAACUCAUUGAUAUCUAACAACUUUUACGUCUUUGGGCAUUAAACUUCAAGUCCAUUUGUAUUCAAUAGGUGCAAUAUCUUUUGGCAUUGGACUACAGGUCUAAAUAUUCCUCAUUUUGCUAAGAAGUUUAACCUUAUAUGUAUUUCAUCUUUCUAUUUUGACCAAUUAGAAAUAUAUUAGCAUUCUUGCAUAAUUCAUGGUUUACAAUUUUCCUAACUUUGUAUGAUGUCAAAGCCCAUCUACCAAGAAGAUGAAUUGUCAAUGACAAUAUUAUUUUUGAUCCCAUCUUCAUCCUAUCAUGUUCAUAAUAGAGGCCUUUUUUACUUUUAGGUAUUGAGGUAUCUAUACCUUUUUAGGAGCUAUUUUGUACAAUUUUUGCAUCUUCAAGGGCCAUUCAUUUAAUUUGUACCUCUUCAGGCAUUAUUUGUUUAAAUUAUACCUCUUUAAAGACUAUUUGUUUAAUAUGUGCUUCUAUGUUAUCUAUUUUAGUUGUGCCUUUUUAAGAGCAAUAAGUUCCUUAAUUUUGGAUUGAUCAAUCACUUUUGUGGCCUCUUCAAGAGUAUCAAGUUUUUCAUAUGUUUUUCCUUAUAUUUUCCUUUUUCAAUGAAUUACAUCAUUUGAGCCAAUAAGUCUACUAUGCUUCAAGUGUACCUUGGAUUCAUUUGUCAUUAUAAUAGUUAAUUGUCCUACUAAUUUUUUUUUGCUGCGAUUAUUUUACCAUGCGUCAAGCAUAUAUCUGGAAUAGUGUUGGUUAAUUUUCAUUCGAGGACAUCUAUUUAUAAUAUUUAUUUGCAUAAAAAAAUUCUAAGAAAUUUCAUGUCAUUCUUCAAGGAUCAACUUCCUCCCGCUAAUUAUGAGAAAAUUUAUCUUAUUAGAAUAAUAAUUUACACAACAUGUUAUACUACUUUUUAGAAAUAUAGAUAAAUCACUCAUUAGAUAAAAAACUUUUGAUUUUAUAUAUAUGUUUACAUGACUUGUAAUGAGUAGAUGGAUUAUUAUUUACCCCAGGGAUCAUGUUGGUCAUGUCAGAUUCUCUUAGAUAUGAUAGAAUGUAAAGUGUCAUUCAUAUGAAAUUUUAUCCCAUUAGUUAUAUAAUUUUUAUCUCUUUCAAAGUCUAUAAUCAAGUUUACUUGAUAUAUAUUAAAAUAAACUAUUAUAUACAUUGUACAAUUGAUGAGGUAAAUAUCUUAUAAUAAAUCUAUCAAAGAAUUGAUAUUAUAUGUAUAUAACUAAUAAAUAUGACAUGCAUGUAUUAAAAAAGUAGUUUAUUUUCUUUUUCCAUAAGAUAGGAUGUACUAUUUUAAAGAUUUCAAUCUACAUAACUAGCAAAAAGAAUACAACAGGUAUAAUCAAAUCAAAUUUGAAUCAUUGCAAAUUAAGAAUAUAUAAAAUAAUAACUUCAAAUUAUGAACAUUUAUCAUAUUUAUAUAGUUUUUCAUAACGGUAGAGUAAGUUAAUUUCUCAUCUUGAUAUGAUUCCAUACAUAUAGUUUAAUAAGAACAAUAAAUAAAAAAAACCUGGAAUAAAAAUUAUACUAAAAUUUCCAUUAAAUAAUAAAAAUAAUUACUAGCUUGUAGCUAUAAUAAAUAAUCUUAGCAUAGCUUCUGGGUAGAGUAUUUAUUUUCUUGUUUUCAUAACUUUUGGUUAUGAAUAAUCAUAAUAUUUACAUAGAUUCUCAAUAUUAUUUUUCUUUUACCCAUAUGACUUUGGGCUAUAAUUUUCUAUAAAAACCCAUUUUAUAUAUAGCCUCAAAUAAUAAGAGGUUAUAAAAUGAACCUUUAUUCUACAUAGCUCAUGACUAUAACAGAAAUAUAUAAUAUUAACAUUUCUAUAUAUUUCUUAGAUCAGAUGAGAAAAAAAAAAUGUAGAAUACAUUGCAUAUAACGUCAAGCUAUAAUAACAUAUGAAAUAAUAAAUUCUUUAAAAUCUUCAUUUAGAGGAAAUAUAUAUUUGCUCUCAUAUAAAUUCAUGGUAUGAAAGUUUUUUAUAUAAUUUUUCCCCUAUGAGAAUAUGCAAGAUAUUUUUCUCUACAACUUUAGGCUAUAAGAAUGUAUAAAUUAUUUUUUCAUAUAACUCUAAGUUACCAAAUAAUUAUUACAUGCAUUACUUCUAGUUAUAUAAGAAUAUGAGAAUAUUUUAUUUUCUUCUUCUCUACAUAGCCUCUAGCUAUGAGAAAUAAUCUUUUAUAUUAUCAUCAUAAAAUAAUAUAAUUAAAAUAAAAAAUAAAUUUUUCAUAACUUUUGACUAUGAAAGUUUUUAUUGAAAAAUAUAAAAAUUUUCAUAGCUUUGAGCUAUGAAAUAUUAUUUGUAAAGAUUUUGACCCUAAAACUAUUUAAAUUGUUAAUUUAAUUUUUAUAUAAUUAUAAAAAGAAUUUAACUCCAAUUAAAUCCUUAUGGUGUUUGACUUGUUUUACUUAAUGAUAAUAUAACGUACACUUAUUGACUAAAUUUUCAUCUUUAUUAUUUAUAAGUGAUGAAAAAUUCAUAGUUGAUUCAAAUUCUUUAUUAAUAAGUAUAUAAGGAGUGGAGAAGUCUUCUCAAAUAAUAUCAACAUUUUAUAAUAAACUAUCAUAGAAUUGUAAAAAAUCCUAAUAUUAAAAGGUCUAGCUACUAAAAUUAUUACCUUUGAAUGUCUUUAAAAAGCACAAAAGGGAAUAUAUAUAGUUUAUUAUGCACAUAUAUUAAUAUAUAUAUAUAUAUAUGAAUUAAUUGACACAAGUUAGUUAUUAAAUUUAUUUUUAUGUACAAAAUAUGUUAUACAAUGUGAUUUUAACGUAAUCUUAUAAAAUUGGUAAAGGCUUCGAAAAAGGCAAUAUGCACUAAAAAAAAAGCAGUGAAGUGAGCAAGGAGUUUAUCCAAAAACAAAUCAAAAGUAACGAAGACUUUGUAUGUCCUAUAUAAUAACACGUUAAAACCAAAAUAAAAUUGAGAGUAUUUCAAAUAUUAGCACCCUCAUACAUCCCAUGAACCUUUGCACAUCAAUAGAAGAUAAUAAAUGGCUUAUCAUUUAAACAAGCUUAUUUGUAGUAAUGUGUAUAAAAAGUACAUUAAUUAUUUAAGAAACUUCUAUGGUACUAAAAAAGUACAAUACAAAACAUUCACUAUUAGUCAUUUGAUUUUGAGAUUGAAUCUCCACCGUUCAAUUAAAAGAUUUGGAAAUUGAAUUCCCAUUCUUUAAAUUUAAAAAAUAAAGAUAAUAAUGAAGAAUUGAUAAGUAAAAUUGUCACGCCCCAAAAUCCACUCCAAGGGCAUGACAAUCAUUUCACACUUCAAGCUCCAAGGUUCAAAUUGAAAACGACACAAACAUUGGUAUUGUAGCUGGAAAUUUACCAAUUACCAAAUUCCUAUUCAAAGUAGUAGGACAAAAUUCUAAAAUCUCCAAGUAUCAUCUUUAAAAAAAACUAAUACAUCAAUCAAAGUGAUAUUGUCCAAAUAGCUCUAAACUCAAAAAAAUUCAAACAAGAAUUAAGUUUUAACAUCUAAACAAUAUCCAAAAUAAAUAGAGUUUAAACAAAUAUCGUAAUAAAGCCAAAUUUCCCUCCUAGCUGUCACCCCUCGCCCGAACUGAGGUUACCUAAAAGAUUAUCAACAAAGGGGGAUGAACUUAAAGCCCAAUAAGGAACAUUAAUAUAGUUUCAUGGAUAAAACAUUUUUACUCAUGCUUGCAAAUGGGAGUAUUUCAAAUAUAAUCACGCACCCUCAUACAUCCCAUGAACCUUUGCAUAUCAAUAGAAGAUAGUAAAUGACUUAUCAUUUAAACAAGCCUAUUUGUAGUAAUAUGUGUAUAAAAAAUACAUUAAUUAUUUAAGAAACUUCUAUGGUACUGAAAAAGUACAAUACAAAAUAUUCACUAUUAGUCAUUUGAUUUUGAGAUUGAAUCUCCACCAUUCAAUUAAAAGAUUUGGAAAUAUUUUAAAAAAUAAAGAUAAUAAUGAAGAAUUGAUAAGUAAGUAAAACAAAUCUAUAAAUGCAAAUAAAAAGAGUUUUAUUGAUAGACAUACAAUGAAGAACCUUAAUGUUUCUCCUUUCUGUUAUGCUUUUUUGUUAUAAUAAUAAUGAUGAUGAUAAUAAUAAAUAUAAAUAUAAAAGUACUUUUUUCAAUCGAUUUAUUUUUUGUGAAGGUACCAUGCAUGUAUCAUUACUCAAGUCUAAAGUUUGACAUGUUUAGUUAAUGAAAAUAUAUGAUACACAUAGUGGAAGCACUUCCAAAGGUGACCACAUUGCUUAAACAUGCAUGUUAGUUCAACAUUCAUUAUAUUGCAAAUGGUGACAUAUGUUUCAUACACAAAAGCACUCGUUUUACUCAAAUUUGUUAGAAUUAGUAAAAAUUUGACUACAAUAUAAAUAAUGUUACAAAGAUAUAAAAAUUAUGACAAAUAUAAAUAAAACAACAACACAAUGUGAAUACAGUAGUAACCAUAAAAAUUGUGACAAUUGUACCAAAAACUAAUUAGAGUACAAAAAAUAUGAUCAAGUAUAAAAAAUGUAAUAAGGAUAUAAAAAUUUUAAUUGAGGUACUAAAAUAAGAAAAAUGUGAUCACCUCAAUACAAAUAAUGUAAUCUAGGUACCAAAAAUAGGGCCCAUGCACUAAGGUACGAAUGUGAUCUAAGUACAAGUUAUUUAACCAAGUUCCAAAAAUUUUAACUAAGGUACAAAAUCUAUAAUUAAGAUGUUAAGGCACAAAAGACAUAACCUAAGUACAAAGAAUAUAAAUAGUGUAUAGACAGUGUGACUUAGUUUUAAUUAAUUAUUUAUGUAUAAUUGUAGGCCCUCCAUUUUGUCCUCUUAGCACAUGUAACAUCAAAUGUUCCUCCUAUUCCCCUCUUGGUCCCUAGUCAUCCCUUGGUGGUCUAUUGACAUUCAUUCGACUUACUCUUUCCUAGCUAUCUUUGGAGACCUUGGUUGAAGGAUUUGUUUGCUCCUUCUUUGUGACCCUUGGCAACCUCAAGUUAGAUAUAGGAUUUUCCUUUUUUCUUUGUAGGAUAGCUCAUUUAGAUACACUUUUUAGAUCACGUAGACACCUUUUGAGAAUAUGAACACUUUUAUUUUCAAACAAAAAUUGCAUGAGUUUGAUGAAAUUAAUUCUUUUUAAUUUGCGUGAAACAAUAUGUUGUUUUUUGUAAUAUGCAUGUGAUUGAUAUUUUAGUUUUAGUUACAUAAUUUUAUUAUUAUUAUUAUUAUUUUCAAUUAUAGGUUUUUUUAUUCUACUUCUUUUUAAGUUUCUCAAAAUUUGUUCUUUUAUUAAUGAAUGUUAUUGGUCUCCAACCAAUUGGAGUUAAAUCCGUCUAAGUUAACAAGGGUUAGACAACCUUCUUCCUUAUGUUAUGCUUCUUAGAGCUCCUGCCUAGUAAUGGGGAGACUGGGUGAGCUUCUUUCCUGCAUAAUGGAUGUUUGGAUAGGUGGUCUAAGCAUGCCCCUUUGAAACUUAAGUUAAGCAAAAAUAGACUAGACUCCUCAAAGGAGGGAGUGAGUAGGUCAGCUGAUGUGUGCCUACCUUGUUUGUGCCUCAGAAAGGUUUUUAUAGUGCUGAAAGAAAGCCACUAUAGUGUUGACUAAGCACUUUAACCUUCUCUGUAAUGAUGAUCGUCUUGUGGGUGGCAAGGCAAUCAUUACAUCUUUGGGCAGCUGGCAGGUGCCGUAAGAUGAUAUGGCAGGUGCAUAUCCCUUCAACCUGCUGGUGGUAUAGAGUUGUGUGUGGUAAUUAAUUGACAUGGACUGGAGGGUUGGGGGAGAUCUCAUCAACCAUUCCCAUGUCAGACAUGAAUGAUUACACAUAAUAGUGGGCCUUGAAGGCGUGAUUGGGUGGUUCCGUCUGUUUAGGGAGUCCAGUCUUACUUUCCAUCUGUUCUCGUAUGGGAAGGACCCAUUUUUGUCUGUGACCAAAUAAAUUGGACGUAGUCCGGAUGGAAGAAUUCGAACGCUGCUUGUCCCACUAUCUGGAUAGUGCUGGGAUUGGACAGUGACACGUGGAAUGACACAUGGAGGGAAACUCCUACAAUGCCCCCAUUUUACUCCGUUUACCUAUGUUCGAGUAGAGGUGGACGGGUUAUGUGUCUCUUCAAAUCACCCAAGUACUUUUUCAACACGUGUUACUUGGGAAAUUAAAUAUGGGUCAUUUUCACCGAGGCCAUCUAUCAAGUGGCGCAUUGAUUUGAGGUGCAUUUCCAAGUAGUUUGUUUUUUGGGAUCCUUAAGGUUUCGAUAUCCUAUAAAUAGGGGAUUCCAAAACUUUUUAGGUUACUUUUUGAACAUUCCUUUUUUGGAACAUUUUCUUUCCAGUCUCUGCACAUUCAUUGUUGUUAUGCCAGUCAUCGUUCUUUCUCCGUUGUGUUGUUGCUAUUUCCAAGCCUUCUACAGGCAGACUCUUCCUUUGCUUGGGGUCAUUCUUGUUGGCUUUGGUGAGCUUGCUUCUCUUUGCAUUCAUUUUUUUUUUUUCUGUUUCUUUGUUUGCUGUUAGGACUGCUUUAGGAUUUGUGAGUUUUCUUGGAUGCAAAGUGAACGUUAUGAAGUCCAAACUGUAAGGCUUUUGUGCUCUAUUGGGGAAAGUAACUGCCAUUGAGGGGAGAAGGUUGGUAGAAUCUGUUAUGUUUAGGGUUUUUCACAUUUGCCUUUUCUGUUUCUUUUCUGUUGGUGCCCUAAGUAGUCUCCUUAGGCAUUUUGGCCUGUAGUAGUUGUGGUGGCAUAAUGGGAAAGUCCUUUCUUGGGGUUAGGGCUUGCUCUCCAAGUUGGGUUAGGCAUCCUGCUUAAGUGUGGGCUUUAGAUUUGCUUAGGUUGCUUGUUGUACAACUAAGGCACUACCUAAUGGCAGAUGAGUCAGGUGACUGUUUUUCUAACACUUUGUGUUGUGCUGCGCAGGUUUCACGUGUCCUAGAGUUUCUCAGUUAUGUCAGUAAGAGGGGCAUUGCUUCCACCAGCACAAGUGGUAGAGGUCAGAAAAAGGGUUGAAAUGGUGUAGUUGUUGAACGUCCUUGGUUGGAAUGCCCAGUCUACCUUCUAACCGAACAAGAAUUCUAGGAUCACUUUCGCAUCUCGAACGUCAUCUCCAUACUUUUGGUAAACGACAAACCUACGCCCAUUGAGAAGUUGUCUCAUAAUGCUACCUACUUUAGCAAGGAGCAGUUCAAUGUAGGGCUUCGUUUCCCUCUGCCUUCUUUGCUCAAGCAGUUUUUCCAUUUCACCAAGAUCCCUCCAGCAUUUCUUCACCCAAAUGUUGUCCGAGUGCUAAUGGGGUGUAGCGUCUUAGAUAUGCUCUACCACCUGGAUCUCUCCUUGCUGGAGAUCGUCUUCGUCUAUACAAUUAAGAUGAGCCAGAAAGAGAGGUUCAACUUGUCCGCCCAUAUCUCCAGUUAGUGAUAGGGCUUCCAGAUUAGAACAAGGGCGGGGCAAAGGCCACAUCCUUGUUUAUGGUCCCUGGGGUGAUCUAUAUGAGAGUUCGAACAGGGAAUUCCAUUUGUGAUGCUCAUUGUAGAUUUUGAGUAGGAGAUGCUCUUACGACUUUUGUUCGUCCUUUAUAGCGUGUUAGAUGUGAACUCAUUGUUGAUGUUUCUUGUUUAUACGGUGUAGAGAAGGACAAGAGGGGUCAACUCAUGGAAUGAGUGGAGAAGGCUUCUUUUGACCGACUCAACAAGCUUUUUGAGAUAUUUAUAGCUGGGUCGAACCACUAAGUUCUUUUGACGGAUAGGAACCUGCUAGCGAUGGUCAAGAAGUCCAAGUCGUUCAUCAUCCCCAUACUUCCUUGUUUGGCUCCUCAGGCCUUGGUGCCCGACGAGCACCACGUGCUGAAGGAUCUCUCUUGUUAUGAGGUUGGUCAUGCGGUGGACUCAAAAGCACGCCAGGACCUCUUGGAGCAAAGGAAAAAAAAAUUCACAGGAAGGGAAGCUAAGGCAAGCUCCAGCCACAAGCCGCCCAACAUCUAAUUCUGUCGUUCGCCUUCCUACUAAGAAAUAGGGCCCUGUCAUUCAACCUAUUCAAAGGCCUCCAAAUCCGCCACGCGCAUCUCCUGCUCAUUCUGCUUCAACUUCUGCAUCCUCGUAUUCUGUCGCCGGCACUGAGCCAGAGGCAAAGGUCAAGCCAGUAGUGUCUCCUAUCAUCUAUGAAGAGGAGGAAUAGGAGGACAUGGAUGCAAACCUGAGAGCCAGAUUCAGGGAGAGGUAGCGCAAACGCUUGUUCGAAUCCAUCAUGGUCGUUCAUCCUGCUAAAAAGUCCUGUAUGGAGGUCCGCUGCCCGAAAUUGGUCUUUGCCAUUGCAUCGACACCAGAGCCUUCAGCCGUCGCUGUAGGUAGUAACCCUACGCUAGACAAAAAGCCUUUCUCAACUGGAGCAACCGCUCAACCUGAGCUAGGGGGCCUUCCAUUGGUCUGACGCAACUCAGCAACAACUCUGUUGAGUGUGUUGCUUCCGCUCCCCACAUUCUCAAGCGCCUCAUGCUCCCAACUGGGAUGAGAUAAUUGAAUUGAUGAAACAAAUUUCCUACUUUACAAAGAGGGAGACCCUUAUGAACAACAUAGGGGACCUCUUUCCGGCCACCCCGUGGGUUUCAAUAGACCUAGAUGGCAAUCCCAACAUUUCCUUUGUGGCCCGACUUCCAUUCGACAACCCAAAAUCCGUCACCUCCCGUAUUUUUCCUAUGCAAGAUUACACAACCAUCGAGACAACGAAAGUGGUAAGCCUCUCAUCUCUUUUGUUCAUAAUGCCUUAGUCUUUUGAUUUUUUUAAUAUCUUCAUUGUUGUCAUCUCAAAUAGUAGCCGACGUUUGUAAUUUGAUGCGACAACGUGUUCUACUCUUUAAACGGUUGAAGGUUGUCGAGACUAUGAGAGUGUAUAUUGCCCAUAACAUGGACGAUAGUGAAGAACUCCGCUCUAAGCUGAAAUCAGUAGGGGACGAGCUUGCUAUUGCUCGGAAGGUUGCUAAGAAGGGAGUCGGGUUGCUAAGAAAGUCAAAAGAAGAGAGAAAGACGACCGAAGCUGAGGCCCAUUGGUUGAAAGGGGGAGACGGAGGCUAAGCGUACGUAAGAAGGCUGAACAAUAGAAUGAAUGGCUGAGGCAGAAGAUGGAAGAGCUUCGGGUAGGGUUCAUUGCUAAAAAGGAAGGGUUGGAGGGCAAGUACCAAAAGUAGGUAGAUCACAUGUUUUUGUUCAGCUACCGGUGCUGCAUGAAGAAACAAGGCAUACUUAGGACACCCUUAAUUACACUUUAGGUGAUGGGGAUGUAGCAAUCGACGACCCUACCCGAGGAAAUGGAGAUGUUGCUAAAGUUGACCCCUCUAGUGGGUAGACAUGGUCUUUAUUCCUGUAUAUUUUUUGUUUUUUUUUCCUAGCUGGAAAUGGCCCCACAGGAAGUUGUAAUGAAUGCUCAUAUAUUUUUCUAAAUACAAAAAUACUUGUUUUUUUUUUUCUCUAUUCCAUAUACAUUUUACUUUUCAUAAGCCAAUUUUACUGAUAAUACUGCUUCAAGUUGGACACAUUCCACGAGCAGAGUAAGGGUACUUCGUCCAGUGUUUGGAGAUGGUAUGCCCUUGAGUCUUCGACCUUGGUCAUAAAGUAGGGGCAUGUCCAAUUAGCCUGAAGGUUUUCAGCCCCCACCUCCGCCAUGUUCUCAAAGACUUUUAUGAGGACAAAGGAUCCGGUGCAAAAAAUACGUGGUCAGCCCUUUUUAUUAUAGUGAGUGAAAACUUGCUAUUGAUAGGAGGCUAUUCGGAUGGUCCUGCUUCCCCUUACCUCAUCUACCCAAUCUAGUUGCCUCACAAUUUCUUAAGUGUCAUAUCUUUGACCUUGCACGACUAUUUUGGAGGUGGACAUACCAAUCUAAGUUGGAAUAACAACUUCCAUUCCAUAGGCGAGGGCGAAAGGAGUGGUCCCUAUAGGCCACCCGGGCGUUGUUCGGUAUGCCCAUAGAACCCCCAACAAUUCAUUUACCCAUUUUUCUUUGUCUCAUUCCAGCCUUUUCUUUAGUGCAGUUGGUAGGGUUUUUUUUGUUGCCUCUACUUGCCUAUUACUCUGAGGAUAGCAAAGCGUGGAAUAUAAAUUUUUAAUAUUUAUCUUUGAGUAGAAGGUUUUGAAUGCGAUGCUGUUGAAUUGCGGCCCGUUGUCUGCUAUGAUUGCUUAUAGAAUCCCGAACUGGCAAACGAUGUUCUUCCAAACAAACCUAGAGACGUCUUUGUCUUUGAUGCUAGCAUAGGCUUCUGCUUCUACCCAUUUGCUGAAGUAGUCAGUAGCUAUGAGUAGAAACUUUUUUUUCAUGGCUGCAAUAGGUAAGAGGCCAACUAUGUCCAUCCCCCAUAGCGCGAAUGACCAAGGGCUCAUUAUUAGAUUAAGAACUUCAGAUGGCAUACAGGGGAUGGGAGCGUACCACUGACACUGGUCACACUUCUUAACAUAAUUUUCAGUAUCUUGUUUCAUGGUGGACCAAUAGUAUCCUUGUGUGUGAGCACGAUAUGCUAAUGUUCGCCUGCCUAGAUGAUUGCUGCACACACCUUUGUGGAGUUCAGCUAGGACUUACUGGGUCUUUGGAUUGUUCAAACAUUUCAGGUACGAUUCUUUAAAAGAUCGCCUAUAAAGGCUGCUAUUGAUUAGAGUGAAGCGGACGGCCUGUACAUGAAUCUUAUGAGCAUGCUUCUCAUCAUUUGGUAGUUCUCCCAUUUGGAUAUAUUUCAUAAUUUCAUGCAUCCAUCCAGGGCCCAUCUCAAUAGUAUUAUAUACUGGUACUGUCGCAAUUGAGGUUGCGGCCUGGAGGUAGACAGGCAGCAUUACGACUUUCUUUAUAGCGAGAGUAGUAGCUAUUCCGGUCAAUGCAUCAACCUUUAAAUUUUAUGUCUGGAGCACUCGUCUAACUGCUUAUUCAUCUAACUUUCCUAAGCAGUCUUCUACCAGGGUGAGGUAGCGAGCCAUACAUUCGCCAUUAGCUUUAUACUCUUUCUAAAUUUGCUUGACGAUUAACUCAUAAUCGCUACAUAUUUUCAACUUGAUUAUCGAUAAAGUUAAGGCAAGGUCCAUCCCAGCCAAGAUUGCCUCGUAUUCAACUUCAUUGUUUGAAGCAGGAAAACUGAGCCGGAUAGUCUACUCUAGCAAUUCCCCGAUAGGUGACUAUAAGAUUAGGUCCACCCCGGAACAGGAGGCUUUAGAUGUUCCAUCUACGUGAAGUAUCCACAAUCCUUCCCUAAGGGGCUCAUCCAAGUAAGAUGGUUUUUGGGGAAGUUAAGAUAUAAAGUCGUCCAUAACUUGUCAUUUCAAUGCCAAUCUUAGCCAGUAUUUGAUUCCGUACUCACUUAACUCGAUGGCUUACUUCAACAUUCAUUUGGAUAAGUCCGACUUGUGCAAGAUGCUUCUGAGUGGUUGAUUUGUGAGUACGAUCACUUGGUCGGCAUGAAAGUAUGGGUGGAGUUUCCGGACGGUGCUUUUGAGGGCUAAGGUCGUUUGCUCCAUCCUGGAGUAUCGGUUUCUACAUCCACCAUAGCUUUGCUUACAUAGUAAAUGAGCCUCUAUUUUUUAUCUUUUAUGUGAUGAAAUAAAACAGCACUAACCACAUAGUUAGACAUGACCAAAUACAUGUAGAGUUGUUUACCUGACUGAGGGUUACUUGGAAUAGGUGGCUUAGUAAGGUAGUGUUUGACUCGAUCUAAUGCCCACUUGCACUCAUCUUUCCAACCAAUUGCGCUUGCCUCCAUAGUUCUGAAAGGCGCGCCUAAGGCGCGCCUAGGCUCGGGGCGGCGUGACGCCAUCCUCCGGCGCCUCGCCUGAAGAGAGGCGACGCCCCUUCACGAAGGCGCCGCUUAGGCGCGCAAGGCGCUCGCCUCCAGCAAGGCGCGAGGCGGUCGCCCGAGUCGCCUCCGACGGCCCGACCAGGUACGCACUCCUCCUUCUCCUUCUCCUUCUUCUUCUUCUUCUUCUUCUUCUUCUUCUUCUUCUUCCUCCAGUCGGGUUGCAGAGACGGGGCAGCCCUAGUUUUUUUUUCAGUUUUUUUUUUAUAUUUUAUGGGCCCAAAACGACGCCGUUUGGACACUGUGCACUUAAGUGAACAGUGACCAAAACGACAUCGUUUUGGACCCUGUUAUUCAAAACAUAAAAUCUCCUUCCAUCCAGCCCCCUUUUCUGCUGUUUUUCAAUCCGAGACCACUGCCAUUUUUUGCCCUAGCCUCUUCCGUGCUGGAGAAGUGAAGAAGAAGAAGAAAAAUAAGAAGAAAAAUAGAGGGAAAAUAGGAGAAAAAUAAAGAGGAAAUAGUCACGUACCUUCCGGACCUCGGUAUUUUUCUUUUUUCUUCACUUUUCUGCAUUUUUUUCCAUUCUUACCUCAUAACUCUCAUUGGUAUUUUUUUUUAAAAAAAUAUAAAUAUUAUAUUUUGAGUUUUUGACAUGAAAAUUUUACAAAAUAAAAAUAAAUAAAUAAAAAGCACUCAUGCAUAUUUGUUGUUAAUGUGAUAUUUGAUAAUGUGAUAUGCAUUUUUUUUUCAAUUUUUUUUCUUAAUUUAAUUAUAAUUAUUUUAUUGUGGAGUAUAGAUAAUUUGUUUGCAAGAUGGAUAAUGAGAGUGAGACUCAAGUGGACUCUAGUGCAAGUGGAAGAAGAGAUCUAGGGUGGAAAUAUGGUCGUUUGGUUAAUGAAAAAGAUUUGAACACCAUCAUAUGCAUUUUUUGUGAUAAAGUAACCAAAGGAGGCAUCUAUAGACACAAACAACAUCUUGUUGGUGGAUAUAGAAAUGCUAAAAAGUGUAGAAAAUGUCCGGAACAUGUUAGAGAAGAAAUGGAAGAGUAUAUGAGUUCCAAGAAAAAUCAAAAAGAGCAAAUGAAUAUGGGGAGCGAAUAUGUUAAUGAAGAUUUGUUUGGUUUGGAAGAUGAAGAUAUUGGUGAGGAGAUUAAUAGUAGAACGAAUAUCACCAACAUUUCUAGUGGAGGUAGUAACCGAGGAGGAAGUGGUGGUAGGACGUUUUCUUCAAAAAAAACCAAGACAAAAAGGUCCUAUAGAUCAUUUUUUCACUCCUAAUGCAGAGAUGGUUGUUCAAAAUCAAAGGAGUGGAAAGAUGAAUCAAACUACCAUCAAUGAUGCCUACAAAAAGGAAGUAAGAGAAAGAGUUUGCACGCUUAUCACAAGAUGGAUGUAUGAGGCUGCUAUUUCAUUUAAUGCAGUCACAUAUCCGAGUUUCCAACCAAUGAUUGAGGCUAUUGGCCAAUAUGGUGUGGGUAUGAAGGGACCAACUUUUCAUGAGGUAAGAGUUACUAACCUUAAGAAAGAAUUGGCUCUCACAAAAGAUUUGAUGAAAGAUCAUAUGGUGGAAUGGGGGAAAAAUGGAUGUUCAAUUAUGUCGGAUGGAUGGACCGAUAGGAAAGAGAGAACUUUGGUGAAAUUUUUGGUUAAUUGUUCAAAGGGAACCAUGUUCAUGCAAUCCAUUGAUGCUUCUUCAAUGAUUAAGACGGGAGAAAAGAUGUUUGAGUUACUUGACAAAUGGGUAGAGCAAGUUGGUGAAGAGAAUGUUAUUCAAGUUAUAACAGAUAAUCACUCAAGUUAUGUGAUGGCAGGUAAUAAAUACUAUUUCUUGAAUUUUUAUUUACUUUUAAAAUUUGAAUUAUUUAUCUUGAGAACUUAUGUAAAUUUAUUAUCUACAAUUUCAUAUACGGAGGUUGUUAGAAUUAAAGCGUCCACAUUUGUAUUGGACACCAUGUGCUGCACAUUGCCUUGACUUGAUGUUGGAGAUAUUGGAAAGCUACCAANNNNNNNNNNNNNNNNNNNNNNNNNNNNNNNNNNNNNNNNNNNNNNNNNNNNNNNNNNNNNNNNNNNNNNNNNNNNNNNNNNNNNNNNNNNNNNNNNNNNUUGAUGAAAGAUCAUAUGGUGGAAUGGGGAAAAAUGGAUGUUCACUUAUGUCGGAUGGAUGGACCGAUAGGAAAGAGAGAACUUUGGUGAACUUUUUGGUUAAAUGUCAAAGGGAACCAUGUUCAUGCAAUCCAUUGAUGCUUCUUCAAUGAUUAAGACGGGAGAAAAGAUGUUUGAGUUACUUGACAAAUGGGUAGAGCAAGUUGGUGAAGAGAAUGUUAUUCAAGUUAUAACAGAUAAUCACUCAAGUUAUGUGAUGGCAGGUAAUAAAUACUAUUUCUUGAAUUUUUAUUUUCUUUUAAAAUUUGAAUUAUCUAUCUUGAGAACUUAUGUAAAUUUAUUAUCUACAAUUUCAUAUAGGGAGGUUGUUAGAAUUAAAGCGUCCACAUUUGUAUUGGACACCAUGUGCUGCACAUUGCCUUGACUUGAUGUUGGAAGAUAUUGGAAAGCUACCAAACAUCAAGAGGACAUUGGAGGGGGCUAUAUCACUAAAUGGGUAUAUUUAUAAUCGCUCAGGGCUACUCAACAUGAUGAGGCGGUUUAUUGGACAAAGGGAAUUGCUUAGGCCUGCUAAGACUCGGUUUGCAACUGCUUUCAUCACAUUAUCGCGAUUGCAUGAACAAAAAAACAAUUUGAGGAAGAUGUUUACAAGCUCAGAUUGGUCAGAUAGUAAAUGGGCAAAAGAGUAGAAGGGGAAAACUAUAGCCAACAUAGUUCUAAUGCCUUCAUUUUGGAACACUAUUGUGUUUUGCUUAAAGGUUUCGGGUCCCCUAGUUCGUGUGCUUCGUUUGGUUGAUGGUGAAAAAAAAGCUCCUAUGGGAUACAUCUAUGAGGCCAUGAAUAGAGCUAAGGAUGCAAUUGUGAGAAGUUUUAAUGGAAAUGAAGAGAAGUACAAAGAAAUCUUCAACAUCAUUGAUAAGAGGUGGGAGAUUCAGCUUCAUCGGCCUUUGCAUGCAGCAGGGUACUUUUUGAACCCGGAAUUCUUCUAUGAUAAGCCAGAAAUAGAGCAUGAUGCCGACAUUAUGAGUGAUUUGUAUAAAUGCAUCUUAAGGCUAACAAGAGACCCUGCUAAGCAAGAAAAAGUUGUGGCCGAAGUGAGUUUGUUCACAAAUGCCCAAGGACUAUUCGGGAAUGAGUUCGCUGUUAGGACAAGAAAGACUAGAGCACCAGGUUAGUUAUUUAGUUUUGUUUAUUUAAAUGAUUAGAUUGUAUUUUUGCUAAAAUAGGUGAAUUGUUUCACUAAAUUGUUAAUAUCUAUACUACAGCUGAAUGGUGGGCUGCAUAUGGAGCUUUAACUCCAAAUUUGCAAAAGUUUGCAAUGAAAGUCCUCAACUUAACAUGCAGUGCAUCAAGUUGUGAACGGAAUUGGAGCAUCUUUGAGAAUGUGAGUGACCAAAUCCAAAAUAAUUACAAGUAAUAGUCUAAUAGAGUCUUGAAUGUAACUUAAAAGUUAAAAUUUUAAAAUAUAUUUAUGAGCUUAUGAAUUUUUGCAGAUUCAUAGCAAGAGGAGAAAUAGGUUAGAUCAUCAACGCUUGAAUGAUUUGGUGUACAUCAAGUAUAAUCGAGCCUUGAAGAGAAGAUACAAUGAACGUAACACCAUUGACCCAAUUUCCUUGAAAGAUAUAGAUGAUAGCAAUGAAUGGUUGAUAGGGAGAAUGGAAUAUGAGGAUUCUCAUGGAGGUGCACAAGAUGAUUUUGUAUUUGAUGAUGACAAUUUGACAUGGGGUGAUGUUGCUAGAGCUGCUGGAGCUGAGGAAGCCAGGUUUGAUACUAGAGCUAGAGCAAGCUCAAGCAUAAUACCACCAACAAGGGGGAUAGCUUCAAGUUCUAGAACUUUGCCUUCUUAUUCACUAAUAGAUGAAGAUGAAGAUGGAGACAUGGUUGAUUCAGCAGAUGAAGAAAAUGGGGAAGGCUACAAAUGUGGUGAUGGAAAUGAUGAUGAUGAUGAUUUUGUUGAUUUAGAGGAGGAGUGAUGAUUGCUUGUUGUGGACAAAUUUGUGAUUUAAGUGUUUUUUAAUGAUGUUUUUGAAUUGUGGACAAAUUUCAUGUUUUGGACCUUUAGGUUUGGAAACUUUGGAUUUGGAUAUGUAUUAGGCAAUUAGCAAUAUGGAUUUGGAUUUGUUUUUAUGCUUGGAGUUCUUUAUUUUUAUGUUUUUUGUUUAUUAAAUUGAAGUUUUGGAUGAUAUUUGAUGAUUUAUGUGUUUAGGACAAAUAAAUGAUUGUUAAAUUUGAUUAUAUUAUAUAAAAAUAUAUAUGUAAAUUAGGGUGCGCCUCACUUCACUAAAGCCCGCGCCUUAGAUGUGCCUUGCGCCUUAGGCUCCAGGACUACUUUGCGCCUUGGUGCGCCUUGAGCCUUUUAAAACUAUGCUUGCCUCUUAAGUAUGAGGAAGAAAUGCCUCAAUUUGUUUAUAAAAUGGGCUAUAAAACGCCCUAGUGCAGCUAGACGACCUAUAAAACAUUGCAACUCCUUUUUGCUACUUAAGGUAGGUGUCUCAAGAACGACUUUUAUUUGAUCUGGAUUAACUUCGAUUCUCUUUUAAGUUACCAUAAAUCUUAAGAAUUUUCCUAUGCUAGCACUAAAAGUGUAUUUAGUCGGGUUAAGCUUCAUGUUGUACACCCAUAUUAGUCAAAAAAUUUCUUCUGGGUGUUGGGAGUGUUCAUUUCGGGUCAUGUUUUUUACCACAAUGUCAUCUAUGUAGACCUCUAUAGUUCGACCUAUCAAGGGUUUGAAGAUUUUUAGCAUCAACCUUUAAUACAUAGCACCAACAUUUUUAAGCCUAAACGUUAUAACCCUAUAGCAAUACAACCCUUGUGGUGUCACAAGGGCCAUCUUUUCCUCAUCUGGUUGGAACAUGGGGAUCUGGUGGUACCCGAAGAAAGCAUCUAUGAAGAAGAGCAUUUCGUGCCCGGCAAUGGCAUCUACUAUUUGGUCUAUUCCGGCAAAGGAAAACUAUCCCUUGGGCAAGCAUCAUUCAAGUUGGUGUAAUUGACGUAGACUCGCCACUUCCUUCCCUUCUUUGGGAUGACCACCGCAUUUGCCAGCCAGUCUGAAUAUUCAACUUCCCUGAUAAAUCCAAUUGUCAAUAACUUGUCAACUUCGGCCUAGAUGAUCCUCUCUGCCUGUCCGAGUAGAAGCGUCGAAUCUUCUAGUGGACGAGUUGUGAGAAAGGUGUGACAUUGAGCCGGUGUGAGGCUACAAAUGGAUGGAUUCCUGGCAUGUCUGAAUGAGUUCAAGCAAAGAUGUAUUUGUUUUGUUGGAGCACGCUUUCAAGUAGUUUCAUUUCAUCCAGCAUAAGGAGAGAAUUGGCAUAGGUAACUUGGUCAAUACCGCAUGAGAAAUGCAGUGGUUGGAGUGGGUCGACUACGGAUGGAUCCUUCUCCACUAGGCUUAGUAAUUGCUACUGCCCCUCCUUAUUUGAUAGUUCUGGGUGUGGCUCAUUAUUGGUCGGAUGUCUGGAUUCAAGCACUACUUGAUAACACUGGCAUGCAGCCAAUUGACUGCCAAAAAGAUCGAUCUGCCCAUCCUCGAUGAAAUAGCUCACCAUCUAAUGAUACGUAGAAGGAAUGACCUUCAUGCUGUGAGGCCAUACACGUCUCAUGAUGGCAUUGAAAUGGGAUAAAUCCUCUACCACCGAGAAUUGCACAUUUUGGGUGAUCAGACCAGCUUGGACAAGUAAUACAGCGUCUCCUAGAAAGGCUGUCGUGGCUCCACUGAAUCCAGAUAGUACCCGCCCUGGGUUUUCUAGGGUAGAUGGUGGUGAUUACUACUCAAAAAGUGUUAUUUGAUAGCUUGAAAUUAAUCCUUUUAAACACUUUUGAGUAGUAGUUUUGGUCUUUUAACUCAAUUGGCAUGUUAAGGACCCUUGAAAGCAAUUUUAAUCACUUUGUGUAAGUUUUGGUGUUUUUGUUAGUAAUUUGAUCACCAAAGCAAUCCAAGAUUGAGGAGAGUUAUGAGGAAUCUUGGGCAAAGCUUGGAAGUCAUUUGCCAAGAGUAAAUCCGGAAUGCAAGGAGAAGAAGUAAAGAGAAUCUGCCAUGAAGCAUAUUCUUGAUGACAGUCGUGGCAGCCACUUUUGGAGCACUUUCUGAAGUCCAAUUGAUGCAUGCUAUAUACCAUUUCAAAGCUCAGGAAGUCAACAAUCCAAUGCUUCAAACGGUGCGCAAUUCGGAGUUGAAACGAAGAAGUUACAACCAUUGCAAGUCAAUCACUCCAAGCUGAAGGAAGCAUUUUGCAAAGUGUUGCGAAAUCACCCUUUUGUUGCGAAGUGAUUUCGCAGCCUUUUUGUACAGUGUAGUGGAUUUCCUCCUGAAGUUGCCCGAUAUAUGCCGCAAGCUGGAAGCUGAGAACCUCAAGGUGGAAGCCAACUUCGCAGCCCUGCGAGAAUAGCUUUUUGCUGCGAAGUGAUUUCGCAGCCCUUUUGUGUGUCUGCGAAAUCUCGCAGACAUCAUUUUCUCUUGCGAAAUGGUCCAUAGUGCUUCCCGAUAUUUGCUACCGAUAUUGGGAGAUAUUUUCCAUCAGAUUUUUGUUGUCUAAAUCCCAAAAUACUCCUUGUAAGCCACCAAUUACAAGAUUCCUUAGCUUUUAAGUUAGUAAAAAGAACAAAUAUCCAUGUAAUAAUUUAGUUUUGUUUUAGGUUCAUAUAAAUACUCUUCAAGAGCCUAUUCUCAGAAGAGGAGACCCUUUGUAAAUUUUUGGGAAAGCAAGUAAAGUUCAGGCCUUUGUUUUGCCUUACCUUCUCACUUCGUAUUUUUAUUUUCUUACUAAGUUAUGAACUCUCUGAGGAAUUUUCCCCAGAGAAUGAGUAACUAAACCUCUAGUUCCUUGGAGCUAAGGUUGCCGGGGAAGGUUCCAAGUGCAAGAAUGCAAAGCUUUGUGGUUUUAGCCAGUAAUGAAGAGGAAGUGAAGUCUUUUAGUGAUUUCUAUGUUUUUAGUUAACUUAAAACACCUUAGAGUCACCUAGGCCAACACUUGGUAAGGCAAGUGAUUUCCAACCAUGGGAAUGCACUAGUUUACUCCUUGCGAGCCUCUGGGAGGUGACUUUAGGGUAGGAUUUUCUGGAAUUGCCAACACUUGGUAAGCUUUUGGACUCCAAGGAGACAUCCAUUAGUUAUCUCUUGCGAGCUUGAGAAGGGAAGUCCAAGGUUAAAGGUCACCUUGAAUGGUUAAGGCUAAGUGAGAGGCUUAAACCAUUGCAAGUUGUAUCAGUGAGAGAAUUAAAGUUGAAAUCUAAUUAAAGGAUGUAUCUGUACAACACCGGUUAGAGAAUUGACUAUAUGUUGAAUCUCUAACGCGAGGUAAUGAACCAUCUGACCAGAGCUAUGUCUUUUGCAUGAGGAACCACCCCAGUGAACCUAACUCUCCAAGGAAUGCUUUUCUUCCUAAGUUAUUCCCAUUACUUGUUUUGUUAGUUAGUUUGAAUCUAAAUCUUUACCAAUCAAAGUUUGUGUUUUAUUUCUUAAGCUAACCUUGAAAUGAAACAAGACCAAUUCACUUUGAAUUGAUAUCAUUGAUAACUUGUUAAUCCUUCCUAGUGAACGAUCCUAGAGCCACUAUACUAUAGUAGCUUUGUCUUUGCUACCCUAGUAUAUGGUGUAAUAGGUUAAAAAUUUUGUUGAUUACUCCCUCAUCCAAGGAGCACCAGCUGGACGUGAAUCAGUUGAGACACCAUCUGGGCAUGAAUCAGUGGGAGUCUCAUUUACUUGUAGGCAGACAAUUUUAAGAGGUCAGUUGAGUUGCUCAGAUCGAUUAGAACUCUUCUUACAUUAAACACGCUUAUUCCUAGGGUCAAGAUCAGGGCGUCUUCGUGUGGCUGUAAUACCCGGUUAGCAUUGACUGGGGGAAGGUAAUUAUGCCAUCAAUGGGGUGCGUACUCCCAUCUGCCAAGUUAUGUUGAAUGAAACUGAUCCAUUCCCUUACAAAUAUUGCACGGAGCAGCCUUUGCCUUUUCUGCUUGGAGUUUUAUUUUUUGUCAAUGGGGCCACCAUGAAUGUAGCUGAUAACAACCUUGGGAGUUGUUGAAGUUGUGGGGGAUUGGUUGACCAAAUCUCAAGCCAGUUCCUUUUGCCCACCAGCCGUGCAGACAUAUUGCUUCAAGUGCCCAACCUUGAUUAAUCUUUCCACUAGGUAGUGGAGAUUUCUACAUUGCUUCAUGGUAUGGCCAUGAUCUUUGUGAUAGGCACACCUACGGUUCCGAUCCCAUUUAGCCAAAUCUGUUUUGAUCGGCUUUGGCCACCUGAAAUCAAACAGAUCGCGGAUCAUUUGGAUGAUUUUUUCGUAUGAGAUACUGAGAGGGGUUAGGCUAACCUGACUCGGUUGCUGCUGGUCGUCCCGCCUCUUACUAGCUUGCCUCAAUUGGUUUGAAGGCUUCUAGCUUCCUGCAUGGUCGUUUCUUGUCGGACGAUUAGCGACCAGGACUUGCUGAGUGGCCGCGUUGACGUCGUCUUCGAGCCUUAAGUACUUUUUGGCUCGCCUGAACAAAUCGUCCAUUGUCGGUGGUGGUUUUUUUGUGAGAGAUUCGAAAAACGGCAUACCCGAAAAUAUGCUUCUCUUAAAGAUCUAUAGGAUAGAGUAUAUGCUACAAGGCUCCACUUGGAGCACAACUUGUCCAAACCAUUUCAUGAAGUCUCUUAAGGAUUCGUUUUCCUGCAUCUUAAUGUUCUGUAGGGUGUUUAUGUUCUGCUUGUGGCAAGUUGAACAUAAGUAGUGUCCCACAAAGGCUUUCGAUAGAUCCCAAAAAUUGUCCAUGAAGCCCUUCGAAAGGCAAUGGAACCAUGAAAAAGCCUAGUCGUGCAGACUCGUUGAAAAGACUUUACAUAACAGUGCAUCAUUCCUUAUGUCCAGGGUCAUGAGUUGCCUGUAGUACAUAAUAUGAUCGAACAAAUCGCUCAUUUCGUCGUACGUCAUAAAUUUUGGUACCAUGAACUUCCUUGAGGGUUCAUAGUUAAUGAUAUGAAGGCCAAACGACGUGCAGAGCAUGUCAUCUAGUCAUCGGGUGACGGAGCCAGGUGGAGCUCGGUUCACUGAAGUCUUCGCUUGCCACUAUUUGGGCGGAUGGGAGGGUCAUUCUAACAUGAUUGUUGUGGCCGAGGGACCCAAACAGGCCUCCAGAGUUUCUACUACGUAAGGUUUUCCUCCUAUGCUAGGUGACCAGGGUCCCAACUAGGCCUGUAUUGCGUGAGAUAGACAUGACCUCCUAUCACGCCUUCUUUUUGUUGAGACCUAGGUGGAGUCAAAACUCUCUUCCAACUACACCGAGCGGGUUGGUGGAAGCUUCUCUUUUGAUUAUAUCUCAUGACUGCUAGAGGAAGACUCUAUGUUCCUGGGAAAAUACGCAUCGUCAUUUUGUAUAGAGGUUGCUCACAGGCUCUUAGGCUGUCGCUUAUGAGAAGGGCUUGAUGACGAUACUUGGGCACACAACUUGUCAUUCUCUUCCUUAAGUCUCCUAGUCUCGUGAAGUAGGGAUUGUACAUGUUGCUCACUCUCUCGUUGGCGUCUUUCCAUGCUUUCACGCCAGUCAAAGUAGUCCUCACUACCCAUAGCUGACGAUCAACUUCUAAAGGGUGUUGACAUCCUUAAACGUUCCCACAGACGACACCAAUGUUAGUUUCCAUCCAACUGGAGUCAGAUCCAUUUAAGUUAACAAGGAUUAGACAGUCUUCCUCUUUACGUUGUGCCUUUUAGAGCUCCUACCCAGCAAUGAGGAGAUUGGUGAGCUUCUUUCCUACACAAAGGAUCUCCAGACAGGUGGUCCGAGCACGCCCCUUCAAAGCUAAAGUUAGACAAAAAUAAACUAGGCUCCUCAAAGGAGGGAGUGAGUAGGUCAGCUUAUGCGUGCCUACCUUGUUUGUGCCUUAAGAGGAUUUUUAUAGUGCUGAAGAGAAAACCACUGUAAUGCUGACUAAACACUUUGACCUUCUCUGUAAUAAUGAUUGUCUUGCGGGUGGCAAGACAAUCAUUACAGCUUUGGGCGACUAGUAGGUACCGUCAAAUGAUAUGCCAUGAUGUUUGACCGUGCAACCGUUUGUCCCUUCAACUUGCUAGUGGUAUAAGGUUGUGAGUGGUAAUUAGUUGACAUGGACUUGAGGAUUAGGGGAGAUCCCAUCAGCCAUUCCCAUGUCAGAUGUGAAUGAUUACACAUAACAGUGGGCCUUAAAGGCUUAAUUGGGUGGUUUCGUCUGUUUAGGGAGUCCAGUCUUAUUUGUCGCUUGUCCUCAUAGGGGAAGGGCCCCUUCUUGUCUGUGACCAGAUGAAUUGGACAUGGUUCGGAUGGAAGAAUCUGAACACUACUUGUCCCGUUAUCCGAAUAGUGCUGGGGUUGGAAACUAACGUGGAAUGACAUGUGGAGGGGAGCCCCCACAAAUGGUUACUAACUUCUAUUUCCUUAUUGCUUUUCAUGAGGAAAUGCCACCAACUAUAUGGAAUGAGGAUCACUACUACAAAUGGAGUGCAAAUAUUGGGGAUAUUCACUUACAAAAGAGAUCUUUGUUUUGAAAGGAAAGAGAUUCAAAUGGGAAGGACUUUGGGGGAAGAGACGAAUCCAAUUGCAUGGGAUUCAUGGAGACCACCAGAUUUCCUUAAAAAAGGAAGGUUCACACUACGGGAGGCUUCCGUCCGCCUAGGGCACGAAUCACAAGCAGUCUAGUAUAAAGACCAAUCACCAUCUCGCCCAUGGGCAUAAGACCACCAAAUUCGUGCACUCACGAGAUCUAGACAGACAAAACCAACCGAGCAUUAUUCAACUUCGCCUGGAAUGCAUCGAUUGUAACAAACAUUAAAUGUCUUGAUUGACAUGACUACUAUGAAACCAAAACACCAUACUUUAAGGCUCAUCAAGGCAAAACAACUAUUAUGAGCCAACAAUUAUUAGCAUUAACGGUGGAAAUGCGCAAUCAAAGGCAUAAUAAAGACGCUUGAGAAGACAUUACAUUGGAAAAAAGAUAAAACAUCAUUCUGGGACAUAGGAGAGGUAUGUUGCCACUUUUCCAAGAAUCUUUUGCGCAAGUCUUUUCUCUUUGACUUAUUGAUCUUUUGAUAUAUGCGUUUUUUUAGUUUUAAAGAAUCAUUGAUGAUCAUAUAUUAAAGUUUGAAUGAAAAUUAUUGAUGAUUGGUGUUAAAUAUUGUUUGAUACAUGAUUGAAAUUAUCUUUAGGAUCAAUUUGGAGAAUCUCUAUAUAUGAAAUUUUCUAAAAAUUGUUUUUUAUUACCAUUGUUGAUAGUUCACUUCACCUUUGAACUUGUAAAUUGAAAUCCGACC